UUUUUUUCGGUUUUGGAAUAUAACAAAAAUUAGGAAAAUAAGAAACAAUCAGGAAGCGUACCCUGGUGGGCACAAGACACCAGGGCGCGCCUGGCUUGCCAGGCGUGCCCACCUGGGGCACCUUCCGGACUCCAUUUUUCUCCCGCUUGCUUGUCUCCCAAGAUAAAAAUUCUUUAUAUACCCCCCGAACCUAUUGACCACCGUAUCACGGAGAAAUCUUUUGUUCUCUUUUCUUGCUGUUUUCGGUCAGAUCUAUCAAGCCAGGCAUCAUGUCUUCCUCCUCCUCCAACAACAUGGAAGAAGAUGCUUGGUUGAUGAAGAUUGAGAUGAAGAGGGAGGAGCCCACGGAAGCCGUCAAGGGAGACAAGGGCAAGGAGGCUGAUGAUGUUUGCCAAGACUACGUCGGUGUUUCCCCCAAGAGGAGAGGAUGAUGUAGCACAGCAACGGUAGGUAUUUCCCUCAGUUAUGAAACCAAGGUAUCGAACCAGUAGGAGAACCAAGCAACACAAUGUAAACGGCCCCUACACACAAAUAAUAGCCACUCGCAACCCGACGUGUUAAAGGGGUUGUCGAUCCCUUUCGGGUAACGGCACCAGAAGUCGUGAUGACGGGAGAAAAUUAUGACAGAUUGAAAUAAUAGAUCGCAAAUAAAAUAAAGUACAGCAAGAUAUUAUUGUAUUUUUGGUUUAAUAGAUCUGAAUAAAAACGCAAAGGAAAAAUAGAUCACAAGGCAAAUAUAUGAGAAAUAAGACCCGGGGACCGUAGGUUUCACUAGUGGCUUCUCUCGAGAAAAAUAGCAAACGGUGGGUAAACAAAUUACUGUUGGGCAAUUGAUAGAACUUCAAAUAAUUAUGAUGAUAUCCAGGCCAUGAUCAUUACAUAGGCAUCACGUCCAAUAUUAGUAGACCGACUCCUGCCUGCAUCUACUACUAUUACUCCACGCAUCGACCGCUAUCCAGCAUGCAUCUAGUGUAUUAAGUUCAUGGAAAAAUGGAGUAAUGCAAUAAGAACGAUGACAUGAUGUAGACAAGAUCCGUUUAUCUAUAUGGCGGUAGAUAUAGAUCUUGUCUUUUUAUCCUUAGUAGCAACGAUACAUACGUGUCGGUUCCCUUUCUGUCACUAGGAUCAAGCACCGUAAGAUCGAACCCACUACCAGGCACCUCUUCCCAUUGCAAGAUAAAUAGAUCAAGUUGGCCAAACAAAACCAAAUAUCGGAGAAGAAAUACGAGGCUAUAAGAGAUCAUGCAUAUAAGAGAUCAAAAGAAACUCAAAUAACUUUCAUGGAUAUAAAAAGAUAUAACUGAUCAUAAACUCGAAGUUCAUCAGAUCCCAACAAACACACCGCAAAAGAGUUACAUCAUAUGGAUCUCCAAGAGACCAUUUUAUUGAGAAUCAAAAGAGAGAGACGAAGCCAUCUAGCUACUAACUACGAACCCGAAGGUCUACAAAGGACUACUCACGCAUCAUCGGAGAGGCACCAAUGGAAGUGGUGAACCCCUCCGUGAUGGUGUCUAGAUUGGAUCGGGUGGUUCUGGACUCUGCGGCGGCUGGAUGAAUAUUUCGUCGACCCCCCAAGGGUUUUGGAUUUUUGGGGUAUUUAUGGAGAAAAGAGGCGGUCUGCGGGGCACCCGAGGUGGGCACAACCCACCAGGGUGCGCCUGGGCCUCCUGGCGCGCCCUGGUGGGUUGUGCCCCCCUCAGGGCACCCCCCAGGUGCAACCAGGGCCCAUUGCCUUCCUUCUGGUCCAUAAAAAAUCAUCAUGCAGUUUCGUGCAUUUGGACUUCGUCUGAUAUUGAUUUCAUGCGAUGUAAAAAACAUGGAAAAGAAAACAACUGGCACUUGGCACUAUGUCAAUAGGUUAGUACCAAAAAUGAUAUAAAAUGAUUAUAAAACAUCCAAGAUUGAAAAUAAAACAGCAUGGAACAAUAAAAAAUUAUAGAUAUGUUGGAAACGUAUCAGCUGUGACGCCCCCGAUUUGACCGUACACUAAUCAUGCACGCAAAUGUGUACGAUCAAGAUCAGGGAUUCACGGGAAGAUAUCACAACACAACUCUACAACAUAAAUAAGUCAUACAAGCAUCAUAAUACAAGCCAGGGGCCUCGAGGGCUCGAAUACAACUGCUCGAUCAUAGACGAGUCAGCAGAAGCAACAAUAUCUGAGUACAGACAUAAGUUAAACAAGUUUGCCUUAAGAAGGCUAGCACAAAAGUAGCAACGACCGAAAAGGCAAGGCCUCCUGCCUGGGACCUUCUAACUACUCCUCGAAUCCGAACUCCAUGUAGAAUCAUCCUCGGGAUCUCUAGCUCCUGGACUCCAGCAUCUGGUUGCGACAAUCCGGUAUAGAAAAAGGGAAAAGAGGGAGAAAAGCAACCGUGAGUACUCAUCCAAAGUACUCGCAAGCAAGGAGCUACACUAGAUAUGCAUGGGUAUAUGUGUAAAGGGCCAUAUCAGUGGACUGAACUGCAGAAUGCCAGAAUAAAAGGGGGAUAGCUAGUCCUGUCGAAGACUACGCUUCUGGACAUCUCCAUCUUGCAGCAUGUAGUAGAGAGUAGAUUGAAGUCCUCCAAGUAGCAUCGCAUAGCAUAAUCCUACCCGGCGAUCCCCUCCUCGUCGCCCUGUUAGAGAGCGAUCACCGGGUUGUAUCUGACACUUGGAAGGGUGUAUUUUAUUCAGUAUCCGGUUCUAGUUGUCAUAAGGUCAAGGUACAACUCCGGGUCGUCCUUUUACCGAGGGACACGGCUAUUCGAAUAGAUAAACUUCCCUGCAGGGGUGCACCACAUAACCCAACACGCUCGAUCCCAUUUGGCCGGACACACUUUCCUGGGUCAUGCCCGGCCUCGUAAGAUCAACGCGUCGCAGCCCCACCUAAGCACAACAGAGAGGUCAGCACGCCGGUCUAACCCUAUGCGCGCAGGGGUCUGGGCCCAUCGCCCUAUGCACACCUGCACGUUGCGUACGCGGCCGGAAGCAGACCUAGCCUAGUGGCGUUCCAGUCCAAUCCGGCGCGCGCCACUCAGUCGCUGACGUCACGAAGGCUUCGGCUGAUACCACGACGCCGGGAUACCCAUAACUACUCCCGCGUAGAUGGUUAGUGCGUAUAGACCAAGUGGCCAGACUCAGAUCAAAUACCAAGAACUCGUUAAGCGUGUUAUGUCGAAGUAACCGCGGACGCCGCCCAGGGCCAGGCCCACCUCUCGCCUAGGUGGUCUCAACCUGCCCUGUCGCUCCGCCACAAAGAUCCACUUGCGGGUACUCCUACGAGCCUACCCGACUUCAUUUACCACAUGUGUCAUGUAUAGAGUAUAUAAGUAUAUACCCGUGAUCACCGCCCAGGUGAUCACGGCCCGAUAGUAUAGCACAGCAGACGGACAAGAAUGUAGGGCCACUGAUGGAAAACUAGCAUCCUAUACUAAGCAUGUAGGAUUGCAGGUAAAGGUAACAACAGUAGUAGCAAGGAUAGGCUAUGCAUCAGGAUAGGAUAUCGGAAAGCAGUAACAUGCUACACUACUCUAAUGCAAGCAGUAUAGAGAAGAAUAGGCGAUAUCUGGUGAUCAAGGGGGGGCUUGCCUGGUUGCUCAGACAAGAAGGAGGGGUCGUCGGUGACGUAGUCGACCACAGGGGCAUCAGCAUCGUCACGGGGUCUACCGAAGAGAAGAGGGGGGAGAAACAGUAAAUACAUAGCAAGCAAGUGCAUAACAGGACAACAGGCAGAGCUAGACGUGUUCUAACGCGGUAUGAGGUGAUACCGGUGAAGGGGGGAAACAUCCGGGAAAAUAUCCCCGGUGUUUCACGUUUUUGGACAGAUGAAUCGGAGGGGAAAAGUUGCGAGUUUGAUAUGUUAGGGACGUGUGGUGGACGAACGGGCUACAUAUCCGGAUUCGUCUCGUCGUUCUGAGCAACUUUCAUGUAGAAAGUAUUUUCAUCCGAGCUACGGUUUAUUUUAUAUGAUUUAUCAAAGUUUUAAACAUAUUCUGAAAUUUCUAUUAACUCCAAAAUAAAUAGACAAAUUGCUAUGUGCACCCAUUGCUAUGUGCACCCAGAAUUGUACCCAGCCAGCACACACAAGGGCUGACUGGUGGGCCCUGUUGACAGGGUCGACAGACUAGUCAACCAGAGGCUGACUGGUGGGCCCAAGUGCUGAGUCAGCAUGCUGACUCAGCGGAUCUUAUCCAUUUGAACAGUAAAACGCGGGCCCUACCUGUCAGUUGUUUAUUUAAUCAAAACAUUUUUAUUAGCAAAAAUUAAACGUGCAGGGCCCGGCUGUCAUUGGGGAUUAAGGGCUAGGUUAGUGCUAAAUAAGCCGGCCACGUCGGCGGCUAACUCCGGCGCAGCGGGGGAGGAACUCCGGCCGGCGGAUUCCGGCAGCCGUUCGCUGCGCAGGCAGGCGCGUCCGAUCGGGCUCGGCGUGGCGCGCCGACCGGGGGCAACUGCGCGAGCGGGGGAGGUCGGUGAGGAGCUGAACAACGGCAACGGCAGCGACGAAAUUCGGUGGUCGCACGACGAGGCGCGCUGGCGCCGUAGGCGCGAGGGCGCACGAGCAGAGAGGGCGACACAAGCCGGGGCGCAGAGCAGAGUGGCCCAGGGCGCGACAGCGGGGUGGUGAGCGCACGCCGGAGCAGAGCUCCAGAUGCGGUGACGGCGAACGCGGGAAGGCAGCGGGAGGCCCCGAGUGGACGCGCGCGAGGAUGUGCGGGGUCAGGGGGCACGCGCGGUGCGGCCGCGUCCUGAGAGCUCAAAGGUGAGGCGGGCUGGCCCUGGCCGAGCUCAGCUACGUCGAGCUCGCGGCCUUGGUGGCGACCAGGGCUCGGUCUUGUGGGCGGUGGUGCUACGAGCGGGGAAAUGAAGGGGGAGGAGGCGGGUUCGAAAGCGGGCUCACUGCGUAGGCACAAGGAGGCCCCGUGAUUUCUUAGGAGCAGCAGAAGGCGGCAGGUUCGACGAUGGACGACGGGGACGGAGACGACGACGAGGGAGGCGGCGUCCGACGAGGAAGUAGGGUCAGGGGCGUCGUAGUGGUGCUCCUCGGCUCGGCUCGUAGUCGAAGGCGACGAGGCGGAGGGCGGCGGAGGCCCUGGCACGGUCCUAGGUGACGGGGACGGCGGAGAGCUCGUCGGCGUUGGCGGUCAUGGCGGUGGUGCGGUGGCGCGGUGGAUCUGGAGAGCGAAAGCAGCGCGAGGAGGGGGAAUGGAUGGGGACGCCAGGGGGAUUGGAGAGGGGAUCGAGGAGUCGGGGCGUGGCAGCCUUAUUCUCUCGUGGGGUUCAUCGCCGGCGAGGGGGUUCGGCGGCGACCAGCCUCCUGUAGCGACGGGGUCGGGGGAACAGAGAACCGACCGGGGAGGGGGAGUGGGCCGGCUAGGGUGGGUCGACGGCCAGCUGGGCCGAGGCCCAGCGGGGAGGGGGGUUCUUUUCCUUUUCUUUUCUUUUCUUUAUUUUUUUGUAGUUUCUUUUAUUUUCUUGUUUUACAAAAAUUACCACUAGUGCCUAAAUUUGUAUUUAUCAACAAACUACUGUGAGAUUAAUCCUUAACCCAUAAUAAAAUAGUUUUAGCAUUUUAUAAAUUCAAUAGGCAUUUGUUUAAUUGUUUUCACUAUUGUUUUAAUUGUUUUAGAGCCUUUAAACAUUUUGUCAAAGCUUGGUUUCUCCACCAUAAUUACUUACGAUUUAGUUGUCACUUUUAGAACAUUUUAGUUUUUAGUUUUUAGUUUAGUUUUCAUUAUUUGAAAACUUUUAUUGUUGGCCUAUACUUUAAAUUUUAACUUGAAUCGUUUUUGAACUAACUCGAGUUUAUCAACAGUAACUGAGGUAACGUGGCACCAUUAGCAGAGGUUUACUGUAGCUUGAUUAUCCGGGCGUCACAUCAACAUCCCCAAGCUUAACUCCUACUCGUCCUCGAGUAGGUAAGUGAUAAAAAACAUAAUUUUUGAUGUGGAGUGAGGUUCAUAAAGUCAUAUCAUAUUCUUUUCUUCAUAGCAUGGACAUUUGGACUUUUUAUGUGAUUCAAAGCAAUAGUCUAGUUUUGACAUAAUAAUUUAGAUACUCAAGCAUAUCAACAAGCAACCAUGUCUUUCAAAAUAUCAAUGCUAAAACAAGUUAUCCCUAGCCCAUCAUGCUCAAACAUUGAUCCAUUCAUGAAACACACUCGAAUAUUAACUACACCCAAUACUUGAGCACGAUCAUAUUGCCUCUUAGUUUGUGCUUUUAUAAGAGAAGAUGGAGACUCAAAAUAAGAAUUGCAUAAAGUAAAAGAAAGGCCCUUCGCAGAGGGAAGUAGGUAUUUGUAGAGGUGCCAGAGCUCAAAGCGAAAAUUAGAGAUAAAAACAUUUUGGGAGGUGUAUCCAUCCCACCAACGAAAACGAUGUAGAGCUACGAACACUUUCCAUGCUAGAUAUGCCAUAGGCGGUUCCCAAACAGAAAAUAAAGGUUACUCCUUUUUCCACCAUUCUUUCACUUUCCAUGGCUAGCCGUAUCCACGAGUGCCUUCCAUACCAACACUUUCCAAGGAAUUUAUUAUUUGACAACAUAAAGUAAAUAUUUUUUGCAUUUCGGGACUGGGAAUCCCUAAAACCUUUGCCUUACUCUCGUGCAAUGACAAGUGAAUAAACACUCAUCUUGAGAAUAACACAUCUAGCAUGGAAAAUAUUAGCCAUCUGUUACCGUUCCGCGAGCGAAACAAAUACACAAAAGAGAAGUUUAUUUUGAAAUUAGAGAAGGCACAUGCAAAUUUGCUUAGAACGGCAAAAGAAUACCGCAUAUAGGUAGAUAUAGUGGACUCAUGUGGCAAAACUGGUUUAAAGGAUUUUGGAUGCACAAGUAGAGGUCAUACUUAGUGCAAAAUGAAGGCUAGCAAAAAGAUUGAGAAGCGACCAACCAAGAAACGAAUAAUUUCAUAAAGCAAGCAUUAAGCAUAAUUAACACCGAAUAAUGCACCACAAGUAGGAUAUAAUUUUCAUUGCAUGAUUAUUGACUUCCGUGCAUGCAUAGGGAAUCACAAACCUUAGCACCAAUAUUCUUACUAAAGCAUAAUUACUCAUCAACAUAACUCACAUAUCACAUCAUCAUAUCUCAAAACUAUUACUAAGAAUCAAGUUUAUUUUGUCCAAUGAUCUUCAUGAUAUUUUGUUUUCUUUAUCCUUCUUGGACAUCUAUCACUUUGGGACUAACUUUUAUGUGUUGCUUUUCAUAAGCUCAAACAAAGAUAAGUGAAGAUCAUGAGCAUAACAAAUUUUCUUUCUCUCAAAAUAAUUUAAGUGAAGCAAGAGAGAAUUUCUUAAAUUUUUUUACUAACUCCCAAAUAAAUCUAAGUGAAGCAAGAGAGUAUUUCUUCAAAUAUAACAAAGCACACCGUGCUCAAAAAUAUAUAAGUGAAGCACUAGAGCAAGUCCUAGCUCAUAAAAGAUUCAAGUGAAGCAUAGAGAGUAAUUCUAAAAAGUCAUGAUAUAAUUUUGGCUCUCUCAAAUAGGUGUGUCCAGCAAAGAUUGAUGACUUAAAACACAAAAUAAAACAAUCAAAGACACAUAUCAUACAAGACGCUCCAAUCAAAACACAUGUCGUGUGACGAAUAAAAAUAUAGCCUCGAGUAAAAUACCGAUAAUUGUUGGAAGAAAGCGGGGAUGCCACUCGGGAGCAUCCCCAAGCUUAGUUGGUUGUUCAUUAUUGCAUAAUAGCUUGGGAUGCCAGGGCAUCCCCAAGCUUAGGCCCUUACAUCCUUCCUUCAUCCAUCGUAAGAUAACCCGAAACUUGAAAACUUCAAUCACACAAAACUCAACAAAACUUUCGUGAGAUCCAUUAGUAUAAGAAAGAAAACCACUACUAUAAGUUCUGUGUUAAACCAAUUCAUUUUUUAUAUUAUAUCUACUGUAUUCCAACUUUUCUAUGGCAAAAAUUCUUCAAAGAAAACCAUAGAGCCAUCAAAAUAAGCACACAACACAAAGAAAACAGAAUCUGUCAAAACAGAACAGUCUGUAGUAAUCUGACUUUGGUGAAUACUUCUGUAACUCAAAAAAUUCUACCAAACUAGGACGGCCUGGGUAAUUUGUAUAUUAAUCUUCUUCAAAAAGAAUCAGAGCAAAAUCUCUUUUCUGUGAUUUAUGAAAAUUACUUUCGUGAGCACAAAGUUUUUGUCUUCUUCAGCAAGAUCAAACAACUAUCACCCAAGAAGAUCCUAUUGGUCUUACUUGGCACAAACACUAACUAAACAUAAAAAGCACAAUCAAACCAGAGGCAUAAUUGUGUAAACACUCAAGAACAGAAAGCAAAAAGAAAAAAUAAAUUUUAUUCAUUGGGUUGCCUCCCAACAAGCGCUAUAGUUUUAUGCCCUUAGCUAGGCAUAUAGCAAGAAUCUAAGUUUUGUCAUCUUUGUCCUUUUGAAGACAAAUAGAUAGUUUUCUAUCAAUGGUAUUCAAUCUUAUAUUUUGUGAAAGCACAUGACCAUUGAUAGCAGAAGAAAGAUUACGUAUAUUGCGAAAAUUCGUAUCCAAACUAGCUUUCAUCUCUUUGAUUGCUUCAUUCUGAUAAAAGCAUAGAAUGGUAGUUGGCUCAACAUGAUCUCCCUUGGGAUGCCCAAAUAUGGUUUUCAUCUUUUCAUAAGUAUCAACGGCAUCCCCUUCAAGAAAAGCAUUUUCAAAUAUAGAAUCCAAAACUAUCUUAAAGGAGGAAGGCAAACCAGCAUAAAAACUUUUCAAGUAUAUCUCUAUCUGAUAUUGGGGCACAUAGCUAGCUCGUAUUCUUAACAGCCUAUCCCUAGCAUCUUUCAAAGAUUCAUCAAGUAAGUAACGAAAAAUUCUGGGAUCGUCUUCAUCAAAAUUGAUAAGAUUUUCCUUAACAACCCCGGUAAGUCCUUCCACGGCAUCAUUGUUUAUGAGCUUGUAGAGGGAGGAGGGGCUAUCCAAAGCAUUAAAACUCGGGAGUAAACCCCUAGCCUUUUUUGAAUCAGCCAUGGGAACAGAAAAACGGCAAGCGAAGAGAGGCGAAUAAAACGGCAAUUUUUUGUGAAGUGGGGGAAGGAAAACGAGAGGCAAAUGGCAAAUAAUGUAAAUUGCAAGGAGAUGAGAUUUGUGAUUAGGAACCUGGUUAUGUUGAAGAUCCUCCCCUGCAAUGGCGCCAGAAAAUUCCCUUGAUGAUGUUUGCCAAGACUACGUCGGUGUUUCCCCAAAGAGGAGAGGAUGAUGUAGCACCGCAGCGGUAGGUAUUUCCCUCAGUUAUGAAAACAAGGUAUCGAACCAGUAGGAGAACCAAGCAACACAACGUAAACAGCCCCUGCACACAAAUAACAGCCACUCACAACCCGACGUGUUAAAGGGAUUGUCAAUCCCUUUCGGCUAACGGCGCCAGAAGGCGCGAUGACGGGAGAAAAUUAUGGUAGAUUGAAAUAAUAGAUCACAAAUAAAAUUAAGUGUAGCAAGAUAUUUUUGUAUUUUUGGUUUAAUAGAUCUGAAUAAAAAUGCAAAGGAAAAAUGGAUCGCAAGGAAAAUAUAUGAGAAAUAAGACUCGGGGACCGUAGGUUUCACUAGUGGCUUCUCUCGAGAAAAAUAGCAAACGGUGGGUAAACAAAUUACUGUUGGGAAAUUGAUAGAACUUCAAAUAAUUAUGUCGAUAUCCAGGCCAUGAUCAAUACAUAGGCAUCACGUCCAAGAUUAGUAGACCGACUCCUGCCUGCAUCUACUACUAUUACUCCACACAUCGACCGCUAUCCAGCAUGCAUCUAGUGUAUUAAGUUCAUGGAAAAUGGAGUAAUGCAAUAAGAAAGACGACAUGAUGUAGACAAGAUCCAUUUAUCUAUAUGGCGGUAGAUAUAGAUAUCGUCUUUUUAUCCUUAGUAGCAACGAUACAUACGUGUCGGUUCCCUUUCUGUCACUGGGAUCAAGCACCGUAAGAUCGAACCCACUACCGGGCACCUCUUCCCAUUGCAAGAUAAAUAGAUCAAGUUGGCCAAACAAAACCCAAAUAUCAGAGAAGAAAUACGAGGCUAUAAGAGAUCAUGCAUAUAAGAGAUCAAAAGAAACUCAAAUAACUUUCAUGGAUAUAAAAAGAUAUAACUGAUCAUAAACUCGAAGUUCAUCAGAUCCCAACAAACACACCGCAAAAGAGUUACAUCAUAUGGAUCUCCAAGGGACCAUUGUAUUGAGAAUCAAAAGAGAGAGAGGAAGCCAUCUAGCUACUAACUAUGGACCCGAAGGUCUACAAAGAACUACUCACGCAUCAUCGGAGAGGCACCAAUGGAAGUGGUGAACCCUCCGUGAUGGUGUCUAGAUUGGAUCUGGUGGUUCUGGACUCUGCGGCGGCUGGAUGAAUAUUUCGUCGACUCCCCAAGGGUUUGUGGAUGUUGGGGUAUUUAUAGAGCAAAGAGGUGGCCCGGGAGGCACCCGAGGUAGGCACAACCCACCAGGGCGCGCCUGGGCCUCCUGGCGCCCUGGUGGGUUGUGCCCCCUUGGGGCACCCCCCCCCCCCAGGUGCAACCAGGGCCCAUUGCCUUCCUUCUGGCCCAUAAAAAAUCAUCGUGGAGUUUCAUGGCAUUUGGACUUCGUCUGAUAUUGAUUUCCUGUGAUGUAAAAAACAUGGAAAAAACAGCAACUGGCACUUGGCACUAUGUCAAUAGGUUAGUACCAAAAAAUGAUAUAAAAUGAUUAUAAAACAUCCAAGAUUGAUAAUAAAAUAGCAUGGAACAAUCAAAAAAUAUAGAUACGUUGGAGACGUAUCAAAGGCUACCGUAGAUCCACCCCCGGUGGCUGAACAAGCACUGCCGGUCAAGGAGGAAGAAGAAGAUAUCCUUAAGCCUUACUGAGAUUGCAGCCUUUCAGAUCGUUGAAACAGUCCGUGUGCAGAAUAAAUAUCUCACUCGGGAAAAUAUUUUGCAUCAAGAGCACAUCAUCUUCCUCCGGAGCAUCAUCCGUAGAUUGGAGAACCUAUUGAUCUUGAAGGACAGGAUCGCUUCCACUUCACCACCACCACCUUCUUCAUCACCAAAAGAAAAUUGAGUUUCGGGUAUGGGCACUCCCCUUGGCUUCCGCCAAGCUUGGGGGAGGUGCCCCGGUAUCGUAUCAUCCCCACUAUCUUUUUGCCUUUACUUAUUUUUGUUCAUUCUUUUGCUUUAGAUGAAUAAAAGUUUAGUUCGAUCCCUUCUUUUCGAGAGCUUGCUUAGUGAUCUAUCCUUGUAUUCGUGUGCAAGAUAUAUAAUAAAGUUUGGUUUGAGUUUUUUGCCUUCUUUACUUUCGUGUUGCAAUAAAAAGAAAGGAUAUAAAUAAAAAGAAAGGAAAUAAAUGAAGAAGAUCAUAUGCUAAUCUUAUGGUAGGUGAUGGGACCACAUAAGGAAAACUAUAAGUAGAAAAUUUUGUUAGAGAUUGACAAACAUAGCAUUGGUCAAUGAUGCAACUCAUGAAAGAAUUAAUAAGGGAAGAGAAGAUUCACAUAUAAAUACACUAUCCUAGAAAUCUUUUGUGAUUAUGAGCCCCCAUCAAAAUAUUAUAUGCCAAAAUUGUUGACGUUGGACAUUGUAGACAACGUAAUGAUUUAUGUUUGUUCAUACUCACAUAGAAGUUAUAUUGUCAUAGAUCCUUCAACAUGUCGUUCUUGCCCCUAUCUUUGCUAGCCGAAAUUCUGCACUAAUAGGAGAUACUACUUGUGCAUCCAAAAACCCUUAAACCCAAAUCUUAUGUUCAAGAGUCCACCAUACCUACCAAGGGAUUGAGCAAGAUCCCUCAAGUAAGUUGUCAUCGGUGCAGAAAGGCAAUAAAAAUUGCUUCCAAAUGUGUGAGAUAAUUUAGUGUAAGAGAAAAUUGAGCGUUGCACAAACUUGUGACGGUGAAGAAUAAAAGCGACAGACUGCGUAAUAAAGGUCGCUAUCACAAGGGGCAAUGCAACGUGACGUUCUUUUGCACUAAGGGGUUGAGCAUACAAACAGAUAAGUGCAUGGCAACCUCUGCUUCCCUCUGCGAAGGGCCUAUCUUUCACUUUAUGUAUUUACUUUUAUGCAAGAGUCAAAGUUUUUCUCUCUAUUCCUUUUUAUUUUUCUCCUUUGGCAAGCAUCAUGUGGUGAGGAAAGAUCUAGGCACAUAUGUCCAGUUGAAUAUGAGUGGCAUGAGUUAUUAUUGUUGACAUCACCCUUGAGGUGAAUAUGUUGGGAGGCGAAACUAUAAGCCCCUAUCUUUCUAUGUGUCCGAUUGAAACGUUUUGCUCAUGUGUAUGAGGUGAGUGUUAGCAAUCAUAGAAGACUAUAUGAUGAUUGAGUAUGUGGACUUGCCUAAAGGCUCCGAUAUGUGACCCUUCCUGAAAAGAUGAUGAAUUGUAGUUGCAAAGUUGACUGAGAACAUAGUUUGUUGGUUUCUAAUAGAGUUUAUGCUUUAUACUUCUAUUGUGUGAUGAACUGUUACUUAUUCAUGAGAAGUUUAUGAUAAAAGCUCUAUGAUAAAAGUCUUAUGCUUAAAUUUGUUGCUAUUAUAAUAAUCUACAUGAUGCUUCUAUGUCCAUAUUUUGUUUUAAUCGACACCUCUCUCUCUCUCUCUAAGGAUGUGGACAUGUUUUUCGAUUUCGGUUUUUCGCUUGAGGACAAGCUAGCUCUAAGCUUGGGGGAGUUGAUACGUCCAUUUUCUAUCAUGUUUUCCUACUGUUAUUUAUGAGGGACAAUUGCAUUUUUACCCCUAGUUGGUUCCUACCCACGGGUUUUGCCCUUACUUUUCGAGCUUGCUCAGUUUUGCCCUUACUUUUUCCGUCAUGGUCCCUCGUAUGCCCUUUGACCGUUUCACCAAAACUUUGAAAAUUCAUAACUAAUUCAUAUGAACUCAGAAAAAUGCAAAUAAGAUAUCAAAGUGUUCAGAUAAACAUUGCCUUUAUGUGGAUAUCAUUUGCACUCAGGACAAAAGCAGCCUUUAAACUACCUGAGGUAAUUAAUGAUAUUAACAUUAUUAAAAAUAAAAAGGUAUAAACAAUAUUUUUUCAUGAAUAAAAAUUACAUGCAAAUGUAGGUGAUGUUUUCUGAACAUCCAGAUAUCUUAUUUGCAUUUUUCUGAGUUCGUAUCAUCUUGUUAAGAAUGUUCUAAUGACUUUGACCAUCAUUUGGAAACUUCAUAACAAGUUGAUACGAACUCAGAAAAAUGCAAAUAAGAUAUCAGGAUGUUCAGAAAACAUCACCUACAUUUUCAUGUAAUUUUUAUUCAUGAAAAAAUAUUGUUUAUACCUUUUUAUUUUUAAUAAUGUUAAUAACAUUAAUUACCUCAGGUAGUUUAAAGGGUGCUUUUGUCCUGAAUGCAAAUGAUGUGCACAUAAAGGUAAUGUUUAUCUGGACAUUUUGAUAUCUUAUUUGCAUUUUUAUGAGUUCAUAUGAAUUAGUUAUGAAUUUUCAAAGUUUUGGUCAAAGGGCAUUCGAGGGACCUCGACGGAAGAAGUAAGGACAAAACUGAGCAAGCUCGAAAAGUAAGGGCAAAACCCGUGGGUAGGAACCAACUAGGGGUAAAAAUGCAAUUGUCCCUAUUUAUGAUGUUUAUAUGAAUAAUAAUGCUUUUUGGAGUAAUUCUAAUGCCUUUUCUCUCAUAAUUUGCAAGGUAAACACAAAGAGGGAGAAUUCCGGCAGCUGGAAAUCUGGACCUGGAGAAGCUACGUCAGGCCACCUAUUCUGCACAACUCCAAACAAGCUGAAACUUCACGGAGAUUUUUUAUGGAAUAUUUGCAGAAUAUUGGAGCAAAUAACUACCAGAGGGGGCCCACCAGGUGGGCACAACCCACCUGGGCGCGCCAGGGAGCCCAGGCGCACCCUGGUGGGUUGUGCUCACCCAGGCCCACCUCAAGUGCCCAUCUUCUGGUAUAUAGGUUAUUUUGAACUAGAAAAAAUAAGGAGAGGACUUUCGGGACAGAGCGCCACCGUCUCGAGGGGGAACCUGGGCAGGAGCACUUUUGCCCUCCGGUGGAGCGAUUCCACCGGGGGAACUUCCCUCCGGGAGGGGGAAAUCAUCGUCAUCAUCAUCACCAACAACUCUCCCAUCUUGGGGAGGGCAAUCUCCAUCAACAUCUUCAACAGCACCAUCUCAUCUCAAACCCUAGUUCAUCUCUUGUGUUCAAUCUUGUUACCGGAACUAUAGAUUGGUGCUUGUGGGUGACUAGUAGUGUUGAUUACAUCUUGUAGUUGAUUACUAUAUGGUUUAUUUGGUGGAAGAUUAUAUGUUCAGAUCCAAUAUGCUAUUUAAUACCCCUCUGAUCUUGAGCAUGAUUAUCAUUUGUGAGUAGUUACUUUUGUUCUUGAGGUCACGGGAGAAAUCAUGUUGCAAGUAAUCAUGUGAAGUUGAUAUGUGUUCGAUAUUGAUAGUAUGUAUGUUGUGAUUCCCUUAGUGGUGUCAUGUGAACGUCGAAUACAUGACACUUCACCAUAUUUGGGCCUAAGGGAAUGCAUUGUGGAGUAGUAAGUACAUGUUGGGUUGCGAGAGUGACACAAGCUUAAACCCUAGUUUAUGCGCUAUUCCGUAAGGGACCGAUUGGAUCCAAAAGUUUAAUGCUAUGGUUAGAAUUUAUUCUUAAUACUUUUCUCGUAGUUGCGGAUGCUUGCGAGAGGGUUAAUCAUAAGUAGGAGGUUUUUUCAAGUAAGAACAACACCUAAGCACAUCCACCCACAUAUCAAAUUAUCAAAGAAGCAAACACGAAUCGAAUCAACAUGGUGAAAGUGACUAGAUGAAAUUCCUGUGCACCCUCAAGAACGCUUUGCUUAUUAUAAGAGAACGUUUGGCCUGUCCUUCGCCUCAAAAGGAUUGGUCUACCUUGCUGCACUUUUGAUACUACUAUCGUUACUUGUUCGUUACAAAUUAUCUUGCUAUCAAACUACUCUGCUACUUACAAUUUCAGAACUUAGUUUCUUUUUGAACUUUCAUAAACUUAUAGGUCUAAUGCAUCCGUUGCAUGGCAAUCCCUACUCACUCACAUUGAUAUCUAUUGAUGGGCAUCUCCAUAGCCCGUUGAUACGCCUAGUUGAUGUGAGACUAUCUCCUUCUUUUUGUCUUCUCCACAACCACCAUCUAUACCACCUAUAGUGUUAUGUCCAUGGCUCACGCUCAUGUAUUGCGUGAAAGUUGAAAAAGUUUGAGAACAUCAAAAGUAUGAAACAAUUGCUUGGCUUGUCAUCGGGGUUGUGCAUGAUUUAAAUAUUUUGUGUGAAGAAGAUGGAGCAUAGCCAGACUAUAUGAUUUCGUAGGGAUAAGCUUUCUUUGGCCAUGUUAUUUUGAGAAGACAUAAUUAUUUUGUUAGUAUGCUUGAAGUAUUAUUGUUUUUAUGUCAAUAUUAAACUUUUGUUUUGAAUCAUAUGGAUCUGAACAUUCAUGCCACAAUAAAGAGAAUUACAUGGAUAAAUAUGUUAGGUAGCAUUCCACAUCAAAAAUUCUUUUUUUAUCAUUUACCUACUCGAGGACGAGCAGGAAUUAAGCUUGGGGAUGCUUGAUACGUCUCCAAUGUAUCUAUAAUUUUUUUAGUGUUCCAUGCUAUUAUAUUAUCUUUUUUGGAUGUUUUAUAUGCAUUUAUAUGCUAUUUUAUAUGAUUUUUGGGACUAACCUAUUAACCUAGAGCCUAGUGCGAGUUCCUAUUUUUUCCUUGUUUUAGAUUUUCACAGAAAAGGAAUACCAAACGGAAUGCAACUUUCACGAUGAUUUUUCUUGGACCAGAAGACAUCCAGAGGGUUGGAGUGCACGUCAGGAAAGCCACGAGGCGGCCACAAGGUCAGGAGGCGCGCCCAGGGGGUAGGGCGCGCCCCCACCCUUGUGGGCCCCUCGUGACUCCACCGACCUAUUUCUUCCGCCUAUAUAUUCUCAAAUAUCCCAAAACCUUCCACGGGAGCCACGAAACCACUUUUCCACCGCUGCAACCUUCUGUACCCGUGAGAUCCCAUCUAGGGGCCUUUUCCGGCGUCCUGCCGGAGGGGGAUUCGAUCACGGAGGGCUUCUACAUCAACACCAUUGCCUGUCCAAUGAAGCAUGAGUAGUUUACCACAGACCUACGGGUCCAUAACUAGUAGCUAGAUGGCUUCUUCUCUCUCUUUGAUUCUCAAUAACAUGUUCUCCUCGAAUUUCUGGGAGAUCUAUUCGAUGUAAUACUCUUUUGCGUUGUGUUUGCCGAGAUCCGAUGAAUUCUGGAUUUAUGAUCAGCUUAUCUAUGAAUGUUAUUUGAAUCUCCUCUGAAUUCUUAUAUGCAUGAUUUGAUAUCUUUGCAAGUCCUUUCGAACUAUCGAUUUGGUUUGGCCAACUAGAUUGGUUUUUCUUGCAAUGGGAGAAGUGCUUAGCUUUGGGUUCAAUCUUGCGGUGCUCGAUCCUAGUGAUAGAAGGGGAACCGACACGUAUUGUAUUAUUGCCAUCGAGGAAAACAAGAUGGGAUUUUCAUCAUAUUGCUUGAGUUAAUUCCGCUACAUCAUGUCAUCUUUCUCAAUGCGUUACUUUGUUCUUAUGAACUUAAUACUCUAGAUGCAGGGAGGAGUCGGUCGAUGUGUGGAGUAAUAGUAGUAGAUGCAGAAUCGUUUCGGUCUACUUGACACGGACGUGAUGCCUAUAUUCAUGAUCAUUGCCUUAGAUAUCAUCAUAACUUUGCGCUUUUCUAUCAAUUGCUCGGCAGUAAUUUGUUCACCCACCGUAAUAUUUUCUAUCUUGAGAGAAGCCUCUAGUGAAACGUAUGGCCCCAGGGUCUACUUUCCAUCAUAUAAGUUUCCGAUCUACAAUUUUAGUUUCCUAUUUACUUUCUUUGCAAUAUUUUAUUUUCCGUUCCAUAAAUCAAAAAUACCAAAAAUAUUACUUUACCGUUUAUCCAUCUCUAUCAUAUCUCACUUUGCAAAUAACUGUGAAGGGAUUGACAACCCCUUUAUCGCAUUGGGUGCAAGUAGGUGUUUGUUUGUGCAGGUAUUCGGUGGCUUGCGCGUUGUCUCCUACUGGAUUGAUACCUUGGUUCUCAAAACUGAGGGAAAUACUUACUCUACUUUGCUGCAUCACCCUUUCCUCUUCAAGGGAAAAACCAACGCAAGCUCAAGAGGUAGCAGCCGACGUCUUGGACGAUCCGGCACAGCCGACUGCCGCUCGCGUCCAUCGAUGCCAUGGGUGCUUGUGGCUUCUGGUCACUUGGUCUUGGUCUUGGAUUGGACAGGGAAGUGUUGCGCAGAGACUAGGAGUAGAUGGAUUAGAGUGGUGGGGCGCCUUUAUAUGAGAGUCCAAACUGCGUUGCAUUCACAUCGUGCUGGCUCCAUUCUGCUUCUCCAACCUCUACAUGCUAAUUGAAUGCGGAGGCAUCAUUGACCGUUCAACGUUUCGGGAACCGCUACCCUCUGCCUCGUUGGCAUUCAAGUCGUAUCAACGUAAAUGCAUGUCAAAAAGAGAUUAGUCAGUAGUAGUAUACUCAAUAUUGUGCACCGCGACCAAGGCGGAGAGGAAAACGAGAGAACUACAUAGGAGUAUUUAUUAACGGUAUAGAUUCACUCAUUUUGCUCUGUAUAUACUCAUUUAGGGUGUAGUCACUUGUUGAAAUCUCUAGAAAGGCAAAUAUUCCCUCCAUUUUUAUUUACUCCGCAUAUUAGAGUUGAUGGAGGUCAAAUUUUCAUGAAGUUUGACCAAGUUUAUAAAAAAUAAUAUAAACAUUUAUCAUAACAAAUAUAUAUGAUGUGAAAGUACAUUCAAUAAUAAAUCUAAUUGUAUUGAUUUGUUAUUGCUUAUGUUAAUAUAUAUUUUUAUAAACUUGGUCAAAGUUUAUAAAGCUUGACUUUUACCUAAGCUAAUACGAGGACUAAAUAAAAACAGAGGGAGUAUUUAGGAACGGAGGGAGUAGUAACUCCUUUCCGGUUUACAGGGCUAUACUAUUAAGAGCAAGUACAAUAGUGGGCUUAUAGCCUGCUUACAUGGCAAUUUUGUCUCAUGCAAGAGCCUGGCUAUAUGCGUGCUCCAAGGCUCCGCACCAUGCCCCACCCCUACACAAACACUGCCACGCGAGUGUCCGCAACUGCCAUGUUCGGGUUGCGCUUGGCUCUUCGCCUCUUCGAGAAGACGAACAAUGAUGUUACUACUUCUACAGUAUCAAAUCAACUGCUGCAUGUCCGUCCAUCGCGUGCGGGAGGGAUAGCUUGUUGUAGUAAGCAAAAGCAUGUCCUCGUCUGCGAGCCACCGCGCGCAUGGGCGAGGGAGAGGGCGUGUAGUAGUAAAAUCAAGCUUCUCCACAUUGUACGAGUUGACGUGACACAUCAUAGCACUGGCCCCACAUGCUUGCCUCUAAACUUGGCUAAAAGACCCACAGUGUACAAUAUUUUUGCUGCAACCUCUAACAUUUACCCCACCAUAAAUUAAAAUAUAUAUUCCUGUCUUGACCAGAUGAGCGUGUAAACUACAAUCACUAGGAUGACAAGUAGGGCUAGAAGAUUAUUUUAAUCAAGAAAAUGCUUCGAGACGGACUCAUAGCAUGGAGCCGACUCCAACGAUUUUAACCUUAGAGGCACGGUACAAGCUAUCCUAGACUAUGUCACUAUACUACCUCCCCUACACAUGAAACUGCCACACGAGCGUCCGGGUUGCGCUUGGCUCUUCGCCUCUUCGGGAAUUCAAACAAUGAUGGUACUACUGUAGUGGAGUACUACAGUAUGCUUCUGGCAAUCUGACACCGAAUGAACUGCUGCAUGUCCACCGCGUGUGGGAGGAAGAGCGUGUAGCGAAAGCUUCUCCUAGUCCUGCGAGCCACCACGCUCAUGGGCGAGGGAGAGGGUGUUGUAAUCAAACUUCUCCUUGUUGUACGAGUUGACGCGACACAUCAAAGCAGUGCACUCGAUAUAUAUCAAUAAUUUGCGUUUACUGAUGCAUUAAAUACAAUGCAAUCAUGCAUGCUGUGACUUUCCUUUUGAUACUUGCAUGUGUUGAUUUAAUGCACCUUGAAGUAGUAUGAAUAUGUGACGGUAAAACUUCGUAAUGCCCCGGCCCUAAAGCGAGAGAUGGUUGUGCAUGAGGAGGGCGAGAUCAUGCCGACGGAACAGGACCCGACGAUGGAGCUCUCUAUGGUCUCUAUGGACCUCACCUUGCUCCACUUCCCCUUGUGCCUCCGCCCCUUGAAGCCUCCAGUGUAUAAGGUUUGAAUACACCUCGUCCAUUCGGCUGAUCAAGCAAGGUGCAGGUUUCUUGAUUGAUGUGUUGUUCGAUUGAUUUGUGCAGUGCAAGGGAGGGCACCUGGCCUACGCGGACUGCCGCGGCGACCGCCCAGGGAACCAGCGGCAGUUCCAGAAGUGCGCGCGCGGAAGUGGCGGCUUCGACGUGCGAAACACGGCGAUGGACGCCGUCCUCUCCUCGGUGAGGGUGGAGUGCCCGCACGAAGGCUGUGGGCUAUACGUCACUUACCACAAGCUCGCCGAUCACCAGAGUGUGUGUCCGCUCGCGCCCUGCAAAUGCCCCGUGCCCGUCUGCGGCUACAAGGCCCGCCGGCGGUGCUCUCCCACCACAUCAGCACCGUGCAUCCCAUGCCCAUGCACAGGAUCCAGUACGGCAAGGUGCUCCAGCUGCAAGUGCCACUGUCGGAGCCACGGCUCUUGUUGUUCGCGAAGGAGGACGACCGCACGUUUUUCUUGGUCGGCGUGCUCGACAUUGGUGCGCGUAUCGCCGUGUUGGUCGUCUGCAUCAGAGCGGGGCAUCCCCACUACCGCACUAUGCAGCCAAGCUGUGGGCGAACAGCCCGCCAGGGGAGCCCAAAGGCAGGACCGACACCGUCAAGGUGGAAAUGGAGGUGACAAGCACAAAGGAUCCCGGUGACGUCGCCGUGCAGGAGCUGACCUUCUUCACAGUUCCGCCCAAGCUACUGGCCGGGGCUGGGUUGUUGAGGACGGUGUCCCUCCACAUUCAGAUUGACAAGCUCACCUCCUAAAUGAUUCUACAGUGCCUUCUGUUUAUCUUAGUAAUAUGCUAAUAUAGGGGUUAGCUCGGUCUACUUUAGCUUAAGAGAUGGUAGGUUUUGGUGGGGAUGCAGCAAUUACUUCGACAUCAGAUCAGCAGUUAAAGUAAUUUCCAACAGUCGAACGGAUAUUUUGUGUCUGUUGGAUAUAAAGAUCGUUUGGGUAAGAAGUAUAACAGCUUAUAUGCUUGUUUGUUCAGGAAGUGCUGCAUACUUGUGCGAGUUGAUGCGACACAUCAAAGUAGUACUACUAGUAGUAGUACUCCCUCAAAUCCUAAUUCUCUACACAGAAGUCGAGGCGCAGAUACCAAGGAGGGUCUGGUUGUGUCUAUACUUGGACAACUCACCCGACUGCGCACCAGGCAGACGAAGCUCGUGUCGUGUUGGUGUCGUGUGCAGCCCGCACAUUAACCAAAACCUCGCGCCUCCAGCUUAGCCUCCGCAUUUUAAACUUCUCAAUCUCAAGGCCAAGGAGCAACGGGAACCUAUGAUAGAGCCAAUCGGGUGGUUGAGAACACUACAAUUCAUAGCUACAGAUGCAUGUGUGAGAGAGGACGAGUGCGUGUGUGCACCUCUUCUCUUCGUGUAUAACGUACUAAACUCAGAGUACAAGUGUAUGUGGGUGGCAUCAACCUAGGGAGCUAGAGAUGUGCGUGCGAGAAGUCCCGAGAGACUAGGUGUGGGCGUGGGAAAGAUGGAGAGGGAUGAUAUGUAUCGAUGUAAUGCGUGUGAAAAAAAGACUAGUCUAUAGCUCGCCACGAGGGUAUUCCUGUCAAACGCCCCAAUAACCGUAAGAUAUGUAUCCGACAGUGCCAGUUAUUGCACGUACACAGCAGUAGAAAAAGAAGUACCAUGGCAUAUUACAAAACUGCUACACCACGGCCAAGAACACGUGCCCAUGUUAUGCCAUCCGGGAAUAGUGCCGCACUUCAAAACUAGAACCGUCAAUAAAGUUUGAGCUUGCGUCUCGUCACAUUCCAAAUUACUACCAUGCUAUAUUUAAUUGCAAACCUUUUCACACCGAUCACAACCUAAACGGUUUCCCACUUAGGAGCGUAUUAGUACUCGGUUACAAAUACUACUAUGCCAAGAUGACUGUGCAUUCCUCCUCAACUCCUCAUCCACAAAAACAAACAAGUCAUUCAGCAUCGUUCCCUUGUGCCUGCCAUAGCCAGCGUGAGUUCUGGGUCGAGAGAUUACCACCAGGGAGAGGCGAGCAUGGAAGCGAAAGUACGAAAGAUGUCCUGCCUCGCCACGAAAGCAGCCGACAUGUCCCGCCCCACGGAAGUAGCAGCACAGAGGUCCCACCGCACCGCCGAAGCAGCACGGAGGUCCCGCCGCACCGUCGAUGCAGCAGACUGGUCUGGCCGCGCCGCAGAAGCAGCAGAGAUGUCCCGCCGCGCCACGAAUGCAGCAGAGAUGUACUCCCGCGCCACGGCGGCCUGGGAAAAUGUCUCGCGGGCAGGCGACGACUCUUACAGGCGCAUGCAUGCUAUCGUCCAUAGCCAGAUGGAUCAGAUCUCCGGCUAGGUGAGGUUGUAGGACGACAUGAAAGCCUCGUUUGAACAGGCUACCAGUGUUAUCCGGCAAUUACGAGAGGGUAAUGCGAAGCUCCAGGCCAGAAGGGCGAAGCAGGCGAAGGAGACCGCUGCCUUGUUGAAGAGGACGGGCGUCAUCGUCAAGAAACUUAUGGACGAGAAUGCCAUGCUCCGCAUCGAGCGCGAAAGGCUGGUGAGGAAUCUGUGGAUGCUGCCAAGCAGCGUAUUAAGGACAUGAAAUUGAUGAAAGAGAUCAGCGCCGCUCAUCGCGAGAACUAGUCUCCGCGACCUGCAGCGCAUCAAGAAAGUAGAGAUCCGCGAGCCAGAUCGUUGUAUGCGUCUUCCUUCUUCUUUUGCCCUUGUGUAUUUCGGGCGUAGUCGCAUGUGGCUUUUUUAAUUAUCUUUCUAAUUAUAUAAAACAAUUAUUAUGCACUAUCAUCGUCCUUAUAUAUUAAUCAGUCUUGCUAUAAGUCGCAGUAGAUGCUAUAUAGGUCUGUCGGAUCUUACAUCAAGAUCCGUGCCAAAUUUUCUUUUCAGAUUUUCUUUUCUCUCUCUUAAAUCUCAGUCGAGUGAGACAUAGCCACGCCAUUAAACAAGGGCUCAGGCGCCAUUAAUGGAGACCUUGGGAGAGAGGUGGGCAGCAGAUGGAGGUCAAAGGGCUCUUCUCCCGAUAAGCACGCGCAGGGGUCUGAUCGCACGCCUCCCGUACUCAAAUAGCUACCCUGCAUGGCGCCUCCUAGCUAAUAAAAAAGGGACGCGUGGCGGCACGUAAAUUGUAAGUAGAACGCCCACGGUUUCAAUAAUACUUGUGUUUCCGAUUAUAACGUGAUAGCACUUGUUCCAAAAUGACUUUGUUGAUUGUUAAUGUGUGUGCUUUGCAAAUCGGACAGCAAAUUACCACAACAUGUUGGUGCCAUGUCAUGACACCAAGCCAAGUUUCAUGAUUUUCAUGCGUGUUUUGGAUUUACAGGAAUUAAAAAACCAAGUUUCUCAAUGUUUCCGGCCGAGCCACGACGCCCAGAUGUUUGAAUUUCAUUCCCAUUUCUUGCAUGGGACCUAGAAAUUUACCCGAGGACACACAUGUGAUUUUUCAACCAACUUUGGUGCACUGGAGCAUGUGCUUGUAGUUCAAAUUUGAAUUAUGCACAUUAAAUGACCAGAAACUCAAUUAAUGUAUAAAAAAUGCCAAACGAACCCAGAAUAAUUCCAAAAUUUAACACGACACUCAUAUAGUUCUAUGUUGCCUCUGUAAAGAAAAUCAAGGGGGGCAGCGUAUAUCGUUUCGUACACAAAGGUGACACGUUCCCUCUCAGAACCACGAGCCUUGUUGAGAGAAGCUACGGUUUGCAAGAAGCUUAUACCAAAAUUUGUUCCAAUUCGGCCAAAAAAAAUUUACCACAGCAUGUUAGUACCAUGGCAUGACACCAUGCCAAAUUUCAUGAUUUCCAGGCGAGUUUUGGAUUUACAAGAAUUUAAAAACCAAGUUUCUCAAUGUUCUUGUCGAGUCACGACGCCCAGAUGUUUGAAUUUCAUUCACAUUUAUUGCAUGGGACCUAGAAAUUCACCCAAGGACACACAUGUGAUUUUUAACCAACUUUUGCACACCGAAGCAUGUGCUUGCAGUUCAAAUUUGAAUUAUGCAAAUUAAAUGUCUAGAAACUCAAUUAAUAUAUAAAAAUGGCCAAACGAACCCGGAAUAAUUCCAAAUUUUAACAAAAUGUAAACUUAAUUAAUAUCUUCUCUAUGUGGGCCAUUUAAUAAAUGUCUAUUAUAUAUGUUUUCUACCCUAUUCAAAUUUAGUAGAUAUGACAGUUUGAUGCUCUCACAUAAUCUAUUAUUGGCACUAUAGGGGAUGUUGAUUCCAAUCGACUACCAUAUCCUAAAGGUUAAAGCAGGUACACGAUCAUCUUCUCUGUUUUGCACAGUGCACUACCAACCCCUGUAUAAUGAUGCACAUUAAACUGUUGAUAUGAGUUUUAUGUAAGCCAGUGGCUUAAAGUUGAUUUUCAUAUUGUUUGAAAUUGUGUCAAUAAAGAUUUUUUUAAGAAUGUUGUUUGCUGAUGUUGUCGGAUGUGUGUAUGAAAGAUGCUUUUUUCCCUCCCGUUGCAACGCACGGGCAUGUUUUGCUAGUGUAUAAAAAAGGCCUAACGAACCCGAAAUAAUUCCAAAAUUUAAGAGGGCACUCAUAUAGUUCUAUGUUGCCUCUGUAAAGAAAAUUAGGGGGAGGCAGCGUACAUCGUUUUGCACACAAAUGUGACACGCUCCCUCUCAGAACCACGAGGCUUGUUGAGAGAAUCUCCGGUUUGCAAGAAGCUUAUACUAAAACUUGUCCCAAUUCAGCAAAAAAUUAUACAUAUGAAAACAGGGUUUAGAUUAUCCCGAACAUCUUGCUACCUAGACCAAUGUACUGUGAUUUGAAUUCAACAUAAAAUGGAUACAAAUAUUUGAAUUGGAGAUCGUAUGGUACAUGUAGUUCAUAGUGAAAUAUGAUUACUGCUAUAUGCAUGUUUUCUGUUAUCAAGAUAAUAUUUAAAUGAUGGACUUGACAACAAUCGUAUUCAAAUAAGGAAAAUUGAUUCAAAUUUUGUCCAUAUGGUAGACGACAAUAUAUAUGUUCAUAGGGUGGAGUAAAAUGUUCAUAUAUGAUGGAAGAUCAAAAUGUAGGACUACAUCCAUUAUAAACCGCAAGGUCACCUAACGAUAUAUUCGAAUUCAACAUAACGUGGAUUCAAAAAUUGAAAUUCGAGAUCCUGGCAUUUUUAAUCAUAUAAAAAGGGACAUGACUCUUUCUUGUGGUGGGAAUUGAUUUGUUUUUUGUCGUUGUUGAGGGAAGUGCGAAUUGAUUUGGUACUGUACAGGGUAAUCUUGUUCUCCCGAUUUUUUUACAUUUUUCUUGUAGUUUUUUCAAUGGCAUUUAUAGCAAUAUAGUAAAAGGGGACAUGACUCUCUUGUGUCUUGUAUGAAUUGUUUUUUUGUACACGUUAAGUUUGUUCUGCCAAACAUGGAAUCCGCGCCUUGUUAUCCCAAAAUUUUCAAGCUCGAGUAUCUUUUGUCUCUUCUGCUGUGAAACUCCCGCCUCUUCAACGCGCGCCGCGCCUUGUUAUCCCGAAAUUUUGAUGCGCGCGAAAACUCCCUCCUCAUCCGAAAUCGGUUCCGCAUCCCAGACACGUGAAAUCCCCCUUCUACCCCUCAGCCGAAAAUGCCGGCUUGAUGUCGAUGGUCAAAACCGGUGGGGGUACACUGGUAACUUACCCUACAUUUCGGACAAGCGCGUCCCUAAGCCAUGGCUUCCCCUACCUUCCCCUUCGUCCCCCCCCCCCUUCGUACACCGAGGCCGCCAAAACCCGCGAAACCCAACGCUCCUCCGUCGGCCUCCCGACCGUUGCCCAGCCAGAGACUCUUCCCCGACGACGUCGUCCACCGCAACAGCUCGUCGUCCCUCAUCCACCGCACCAGAUGAGGAUCCGUCGUCGAUCUUGUCGUCCCGCUGGAUCAGUCGCCCCGUCCUCCACCUCCAAGGAGUUGCCCCGAUGUUCGCCUCGUCUAUCGCACCACCUCGAUCCCCACAGCGUUGUCUUGACCUGCCCCACCGGAACCGCAGCACCCUCACCAAUUCCUCCGAUGAAGUCGAGGCCUACUCGGCGCCACCAAGGAGGUUCUGCACUCACAGCUGCAUUUUAUCUUUUAUUCGAUCUCACUGGGCUACCGGUGCUCGAUGCGGAGCAGUGCUACCUCUUGAGCAUGCGUUGGUUUUCCCUUGAAGAGGAAAGGGUGAUGCAGCAAAGUAGCGUAAGUAUUUCCCUCAGUUUUUGAGAACCAAGGUAUCAAUCCAGUAGGAGGCCACACGCAACUCCCUCGUACCUACACAAACAAAUAAGAACCUUGCAACCAACGCGAUAAAGGGGUUGUCAAUCCCUUCACGUCCACUAGCAAAAGAGGGAUCUGAUAGAGAUGAUAAGAUAAUGUUUUUGGUAUUUUUAUGGUAAGACUAAAAGUAAAGAUUGCGAAGUAAAAAUAGAUUGGAAACUUAUAUGAUGGAAGAUACACCCGGGGGCCAUAGGUUUCACUAGUGGAUUCUCUCAAGAUAGCAUAAGUAUUACGGUGGGUGAACAAAUUACUGUCGAGCGAUUGAUAGAAAAGUGCAUAAUUAUGAGAAUAUCUAGGCAUGAUCAUGUAUAUAGGCAUCACGUCCGCAACAAGUAGACCUACUCUUGACUGCAUCUACUACUAUUACUCCACACAUCGACCAUUAUCCAGCAUGCAUCUAGAGUAUUAAGUUCAUAAGAACAGAGUAACGCAUUAGGCAAGAUGACAUGAUGUAGAGGGAUAAACUAAAGCAAUAUGAUAUAAACCCCAUCUUUUUAUCGUUGAUGGCAACAAUACAAUACGUGUCAUUUCCCCUUCUGUCACUGGGAUCGAGCAACGCAAGAUUGAACCCAAAGCUAAGCACUUCUCCCAUUGCAAGAAAGAUAAAUCUAGUAGGCCAAACCAAACCGAUAAUUUGAAGAGACUUGCAAAGAUAACAAAUCAUACAUAAAAGAAUUCAGAGGAGAUUCAAAUAUUGUUCAUAGAUAAUCUUGAUCAUAAACCCACAAUUCAUCGGAUCUCGACAAACACACCGCAAAAAGAGUUACAUCGAAUAGAUCUCCAAGAAGAUCGAGGAGAACUUUUUAUUGAGAUCCAAAGAGAGAGAAGAAGCCAUCUAGCUAAUAACUAUGGACCCGAAGGUCUGUGGUAAACUACUCACACAUCAUAGGAGAGGCUAUGGUGUUGAUGUAGAAGCCCUCCGUGAUCGAUUCCCCCUCCGGCGGAGCGCCAAAAAAGGCCCCAAGAUGGGAUCUCACGGCUACAGAAGGUUGCGGUGGUGGAAAUAGGGUUUCAUGGUGCUCCUGGUUGGUUUCAGGGUAUAUGGGUAUAUAUAGGAGGAAGAAGUAGGUCGGUGGAGCUGCGAGGGGCCGACGAGGGUGGGGGCGCGCCCAGGGGGCAGGCGCGCCUCCCUGCCUCGUGGCCUCCUCGUGGAUUUCUUGACGUCCACUCCAAGUCCUCUAGAUCACGUUUGUUCCAAAAAUCACUCUCCCGAAAGUUUCAUUCUGUUUGGACUCCGUUUGAUAUUCCUUUUCUGUUAAACACUGAAAUAGGCAAAAAAACAGCAAUUUGCACUGGGCCUUGGGUUAGUAGGUUAGUCCCAAAAAUAAUAUAAAAGUGUAUAAUAAAGCCCAUUAAACAUCCAAAACAGAUAAUAUAAUAUCAUGUAACAAUCAAAAAUUAUAGAUACGUUGGUGACGUAUCAAGCAUCCCCAAGCUUAAUUCCUGCUCGUCCUCGAGUAGGUAAAUGAUAAAAAUAGAUUUUUUGAUGUGGAAUGCUACCUAGCAUAUCUUCAAUGUAAUUUUCUUUAUUGUGGCAUGAAUGUUCAGAUCCGAAAGAUUCAAGACAAAAGUUUAAUAUUGACAUAAAAAUAAUAAUACUUCAAGCAUACUGACUAAGCAAUCAUGUCUUCUCAAAAUAACAUGGCCAAAGAAAGUUCAUCCCUACAAAAUCAUAUAGUUUGGUCAUGCUCCAUUUUUGUCACACAAGAAUGCUCUCAUCAUGGACAACCCCUAUGACAAGCCAAGCAAUUGUUUCAUACUUUAGUAAUCUCAAACUUUUUCAACUUUCACGCAAUACAUGAGCGUGAGCCAUGGAUAUAGCACUAUGGGUGGAAUAGAAUAUAACGAUGGGGGUUAUGUGGAGAAGACAAAAAAGGAGAAAGUCUCACAUUGACGCGGCUAAUCAACGGGCUAGGGAGAUGCCCAUCAAUUGAUGUCAAUGCAAGGAGUAGGGAUUGCCAUGCAACGGAUGCACUAGAGCUAUAAAUGUAUGAAAGCUCAACAAAAGAAACUAAGUGGGUGUGCAUCCAACUUGCUUGCUCACGAAGACCUAGGGCAUUUGAGAAAGCCCAUUGUUGGAAUAUACAAGCCAAGUUCUAUAAUGAAAAAUUGCCACUAGUAUAUGAAAGUGACAAAACAAGAGACUCUCUAUCAUAAAGAUUAUGGUGCUACUUUGAAGCACAAGUGUGGAAAAAGGAUAGUAGCAUUGUCCCUUUUUAUUUUCUUUUUUUGGGCCUUUUUUUUAUUUGACCUUUCUCUUUUUUGGGGGACAAUGCUCUAUUAAUGAUGAUCAUCACACUUCUAUUUAUUUACAACUCAAUGAUUACAACUCGAUACUAGAACAAAAUAUGACUCUAUAUGAAUGCCUCCGGCGGUGUACCGGGAUGGCAACAAAUCAAGAGUGACAUGUAUGAAAUAAUAUGCAUGGUGGCUUUGCCACAAAUAUGAUGUCAACUACAUGAUCAUGCAAGGCAGUAUGACAAUGAUGAAGCGCGUCAUAAUAAACGGAACGGUGGAAAGUUGCAUGGCAAUAUAUCUCGGAAUGGCUAUGGAAAUGCCAUAAUAGUUAGGUAUGCUGGCUGUUUUGAGGAAGAUAUAAGGAGGUUUAUAUGUGAUAGAGUGUAUCGUAUCACGGGGUUUGGAUGCACCGGCAAAGUUUGCACCAACUCUCAAGGUGAGAAAGGUCAAUGCACGGUACCAAAGAGGCUAGCAAUGAUGGAAGGUUGAGAGUGCGUAUAAUCCAUGAACUCAACAUUAGUCAUAAAGAACUCACAUACUUAUUGCAAAAAUCUACAAGUCAUCAAAAACCAAGCAAUACGCGCAUGCUCCUAGGGGGAUAGAUUGGUAGGAAAAGACCAUCGCUCGUCCCUGACCUCCACUCAUAAGGAUGACAAUCAAAGAACACCUCAUGUUUCAAAUUUGUUACACAACGUUUACCAUACGUGCAUGCUACGGGACUUGCAAACUUCAACACAAGUAUUUCUCAAAUUCACAAUUACUCAACUAGCACAACUUUAAUAUCACUAUCUCCAUAUCUCAAAACAAUCAUCAAGUAUCAAACUUCUCGUAGUAUUCAACGCACUUAUAUGAAAGUUUUUAUUAUACCCAUCUUGGAUGUCUAUCGUAUUAGGACUAAUUUUAUAGCCAUAGCAAAUUACCAUGCUGUUCUAAAGGACUCUCGAAAUGAUAUAAGUGAAGCAUGAGAGAUCAAUAAUUUCUAUAAAAUAAAACCACCACCGUGCUCUAAAAGAUAUAAGUGAAGCACUAGAGCAAAAUUAUUUAGCUCAAAAGAUAUAAGUGAAGCACAUAGAGUAUUCUAAUAAAUUCCGAUUAAUGUGUGUCUCUCCCAAAAGGUGUGUACAGCAAGGAUGAUUGUGGUGAACUAAAAAGCAAAGACUCAAAUCAUACAAGACGCUCCAAGCAAAACACAUAUCAUGUGGUGAAUAAAAAUAUAGCUCCAAGUAAAGUUACCGAUGGACGAAGACAAAAGAGGGGAUGCCUUCCGGGGCAUCCCCAAGCUUAGGAUUUUUGGUUGUCCUUGGAUUUUACCUUGGGGUGCCUUGGGCAUCCCCAAGCUUAGGCUCUUGCCACUCCUUGUUCCAUAAUCCAUCAAAUCUUUACCCAAAACUUGAAAACUUCACAACACAAGACUUAACAGAAAAUCUCAUGAGCCCCGUUAGCGAAAGAAACCAAAACACCACUUCAAGGUACUGUAAUGAACUCAUUCUUUAUUUAUAUUGGUGUUAAACCUACUGUAUUCCAACUUCUCUAUGGUUCAUAACCUCCGAUACUAGCCAUAGAUUCAUCAAAAUAAGCAAACAACACACGAAAAACAGAAUCUGUCAAAAACAUAACAGUCUGUAGUAAUCUGUAUCAAACGCAUACUUCUGUAACUCAGAAAAAUCUACCAAAAUAGUACGACCUAGAUAAUUUGUUUAUUGAUCUUCUGCAAUUGGAAUAAGUAUUUUAUCACGUCCUGGUGAUUUUUAACAAUUUUUUUCGUGAGCAGAAAGUUUCUGACUUUUUCAGCAAGAUCAAAUAACUAUCAUCCAAGAAGAUCCUAUAGGUUCUACUUGGCACAAACACUAAUUAAAACAUGAAAACACAUCCAACCAGAGGCUAGAUGAAAGAUUUAUUACUAAACAUAACCAAAAAUAAAGAAAUAAAAUAAAAUUGGGUUGCCUCCCAACAAGCGCUAUUGUUUAACGCCCCUAGCUAGGCAUAAAGGCAAGGAUAGAUCUAGGUAUUGUCAUCUUUGGCAUGCAAUCCAUAAGUAGCUCUCAUAAUAGAUUCAUAAGGUAAUUUAAUUCUACUUCUAGGAAAGUGUUCCAUGCCUUUCCUUACCGGAAAUUGAAAUCUAAUAUUCCCUUCUUUUGUAUAAAUAAUUGCACUAAUCGUUCUAAGGAAAGGUCUACCAAGAAUAAUAGGACAUGAAGGAUUGCAAUCUAUAUCGAGGACAAUGAAAUCUACGGGCACAUAAUUCCUAUUUUCAACAAUAAUAACAUCAUUAAUUAUUCCCAUAGGUUUCUUAAUGGUGGAAUCCGCAAGGUGCAAGUUUAAAGAACAAUCAUCAAAUUCACGGAAACCUAACAUAUCACACAAAGUUUUUGGAAUCGUGGAAACACUAGCACCCAAAUCACACAAAGCAUAGCAUUCAUGAUCUUUAAUUUUAAUUUUAAUAGUAGGUUCCCACUCAUCAUAAAGUUUUCUAGGGAUAGAAACUUCCAAUUCAAUCUUUUCUUCAUAAGAUUGCAUUAAAGCAUCAACGAUAUGUUUGGUAAAAGCCUUAUUUUGACUAUAAGCAUGCGGAGAAUUUAGCACCGAUUGCAACAAGGAAAUACAAUCUAUUAAAGAACAAUUAUCAUAAUUAAAUUCCUUGAAAUCCAAAAUAGUGGGUUCAUUGCUAUGUAAAGUUUUGACCUCUUCAAUCCCACUUUUACCAAUUUUUGCUUCAAGAUCUAAAAACUCCGAAUCAUUGGGACGCCUUUUAACUAAAGUUGACUCAUCCCCGGUCCCAUCAUUAUCAAGAUUCAUAUUGCAAAACAAGGAUUUAAUUGGAGACACAUCAAUCACUUUUAGAUCUUCAUCCUUAUUAUCAUGAAAACUAGAAGAACACGGUUUCACAAAGCAAUCUUUUUUAGCACGCAUCCUAGCGGUUCUUUCUUUGCACUCAUCAAUGGAAAUUCUCAUAGAUUUGAGAGACUCAUUGAUAUCAUGCUUAGGUGGAAUAGAUCUAAGUUUCAAAGAAUCAACAUCAAGAGAAAUUCUAUCCAUGUUCCUAGCCAACUCAUCAAUCUUAGGCGGUUUUUCUUCAAGCAAAGCAUUGAAUUUUUUUUGAGAAAUCAUAAAUUAUUUAACACUAGUCUCAAAAUCAGAGGGCAUCUUAUUAAAAUUUCCAUAAGAGUUGUUGUAGGAAUUACCAUAAUUAUUAGAGGAAUUACUAGGAUACGGCCUAGGAUUAAAGUUUCCUCUAUAAGCAUUGUUACCAAAAUUGUUCCUACCAACAAAAUUCACAUCCAUAGAUUCAUUAUUAUUCUCAAUCAAAGUAGAGACAUGCAUAUCAUUGGGAUCAGAAGAAACACUCUUAUUAGCAAACAAUUUCAUAAGUUCAUACAUCUUUCCACUCAAAACAUUAAUCUCUUCAAUUGCAUGCACCUUUUUACUAGUAGAUCUUUCAGUGUGCCAUUGAGAAUAAUUAACCAUAAUAUUAUCUAGGAGUUUAGUAGCUUCUCCUAAAGUGAUUUCCAUAAAAGUGCCUCCCGUGGCCGAAUCUAAAAGAUUUCUAGAAGCAAAAUUCAAUCCGGCAUAAUUUUUUUAUAUAAUCAUCCAUAAAUUCAAACCAUGUGUAAGGCAAUUACGUAUCAUUAAUUUCAUUCUCUCCCAAGCUUGUGCAACAUGUUCAUGAUCAAGUUGCUUAAAAUUCAUAAUAUCGUUUCUAAGAGAGAUGAUCUUAGCGGGAGGAAAAUACUUAGAGAUAAAAGCAUCUUUGCACUUAUUCCAAGAAUUAAUACUAUUUUUAGGCAAAGACGAAAACCAAGUUUUAGCAUGAUCUCUAAGCGAAAAAGGAAAUAGCUUCAGUUUAACAAUAUCAUUGUCCACAUCUUUCUUCUUUUGCAUAUCACAGAAAUCAACAAAGUUGUUUAGAUGGGUAGCGGCAUCUUCACUAGGAAGGCCGGCGAAUUGAUCUUUCAUGACAAGAUUCAGCAAAGCAGCAUUAAUUUCACAAGAUUCAGCAUCGGUAAGAGGAGCAAUCGGAGUGCUAAGAAAAUCAUUGUUGUCGGUAUUGGCAAAGUCACACAAUUUAGUAUUAUCUUGAGCCAUCGUGACAAGCAAGCAAUCCAAUACACAAGCAAACAAGAAGCAAGCGGGAAAAAAAGAGGCAAACGAAAAGAGAGGGCGAAUAAAACGGCAAGGGUGAAGUGGGGGAGAGGAAAACGAGAGGCAAAUGGAAAAUAAUGUAAUGCGAGGGAUAAGAGUUUGUGAUGGGUACUUGGUAUGUCUUGACUUGUGCGUAGACUCCCCGGCAACGGCGCCAGAAAUCCUUCUUGCUACCUCUUGAGCAUGCGUUGGUUUUCCCUUGAAGAGGAAAGGGUGAUGUAGCAAAGUAGCGUAAGUAUUUCCCUCAGUUUUUGAGGACCAAGGUACCAAUCCAGUAGGAGGCCACACGCAAGUCCCUCGUACCUACACAAACAAAUACGAACCUUGCAACCAACGCAAUAAAGGGGUUGUCAAUCCCUUCACGGCCACUUGCAAAAGUGAGAUCUGAUAGAGAUGAUAAGAUAAUAUUUUUGGUAUUUUUAUGGUAAAGACUAAAAGUAAAGAUUGUGAGGUAAAAAUAGAUUGGAAACUUAUAUGAUGGAAGAUAGACCCGGGGGCCAUAGGUUUCGCUAGUGGUUUCUCUCAAGAUAGCAUAAGUAUUGCGGUGAGUGAACAAAUUACUGUCGAGCGAUUGAUAGAAAAGUGCAUAAUUAUGAGAAUAUCUAGGCAUGAUCAUGUAUAUAGGCAUCACGUCCGCAACAAGUAGACCGACUCCUGCCUGCAUCUACUACUAUUACUCCACACAUCGACCGCUAUCCAGCAUGCAUCUAGAGUAUUAAGUUCAUAAGAACAGAGUAACGCAUUAGGCAAGAUGACAUGAUGUAGAGGGAUAAACUCAAGCAAUAUGAUAUAAACCCCAUAUUUUUAUCCUCGAUGGCAAUAAUACAAUACGUGUCGUUUCCCCUUCUGUCACUGGGAUCGAGCAACGCAAGAUUGAACCCAAAGCUAAGCACUUCUCCCAUUGCAAGAAAGAUCAAUCUAGUAGGCCAAACCAAACCGAUAAUUCGAAGAGACUUGCAAAGAUAACAAAUCAUACAUAAAAGAAUUCAGAGGAGAUUCAAAUAUGGUUCAUAGAUAAUCUUGAUCGUAAAACCACAAUUCAUCGGAUCUCUACAAACACACCGCAAAAAGAGUUACAUCGAAUAGAUCUCCAAGAAGAUCGAGGAGAACUUUGUAUUGAGAUCCAAAGAGAGAGAAGAAGCCAUCUAGCUAAUAACUAUGGACCCGAAGGUCUGUGGUAAACUACUCACACAUCAUCGGAGAGGCUAUGGUGUUGAUGUAGAAGCCCUCCGUGAUCGAUUCCCCCUCCGGCGGAGCGCCGAAAAAGGCCCCAAGAUGGGAUCUCAUGGGUACAGAAGGUUGCGGCGGUGGAAAUAGGGUUUCGUGGUGCUCCUGGUUGGUUUCAGGGUAUAUGGUAUAUAUAGGAGGAAGAAGUAGGUCGGUGGAGCUGCGAGGGGCCCAUGAGGGUGGGGGCGCGCCCAGGGGGGCAGGCGCGCCUCCCUACCUCGUGGCCUCCUCGUUGAUUUCUUGACGUCCACUCCAAGUCCUCUGUAUCACGUUUGUUCCAAAAAUCACUCUCCCGAAGGUUUCAUUCCGUUUGGACUCCAUUUGAUAUUCCUUUUCUGCGAAACACUGAAAUAGGCAAAAAAAACAACAAUUUGCACUGGGCCUUGGGUUAGUAGGUUAGUACCAAAAAUAAUAUAAAAGUGUAUAAUAAAGCCCAUUAAACAUCCAAAACAGAUAAUAUAAUAGCAUGGAACAAUAAAAAAUUAUAGAUACGUUGGAGACGUAUCAAGCAGCCAUGCCGGGUCUCCAUUGACGGCGCCGUCACCGGCCACUUCAUCCACGGCAUCUCUCCCACAUGUCGUUGCUUCCUUGGCGGUGACUUCCACACCGGCACUAGUUGCUGCUGCUCCGGCUCUCGCUCGCGCUGCUACUGCUGCUGCUGCUCCGGCUCUCACUCACGAUGCGGCUCUGUUCUUGGUGUCGGUCGCGUUACUGCACUGCUCUUACUUUCGUUCGUGCUACUGCUCUUCUCUGCUAUUGUUGCUGCUCCGCUCUUGCUCUCGUUCCUGCUGAUGCUCUGCUCUUACUCUCGCUCGCGCUGCUGCUGCUGCAUGACCUUCGGCAGCUACAGGAGUUGUUGCUUUAGCACUCGCUCGCGGUGCUGCUGCACGAGUUGCUCUCUGCUAGUGCGUUCCUUGCUCGAUCGGCUGCUGAUUUAGAUCACUGCUUCUCUGCUACUAGUGCUCGAACGCCCUAAACUUCUAUUGCAAUGCUCUGCUACUAGUUCAAUCAGUUUCAACAAUAAAAUUCAGUUUUGCCCUAUACUUCAGAUUAACGUUGUCUGUCUUGUCCUGCUUCAGCCUCGCCGCCGUACACCUCACCGGAACUGCUCCAACGACGGAACCAUCCAUCACAGCGGAGCAGUACCCUCGGCGCCGUUUCCAGAGGCCUCAGAUCUUCUUCCCCACCUCCGAUAGUCACACCAGCAUCACCAUCCUCCACGUCCAACCCAAUGAUGUUGAGGUCGACAAGGCUAUGCCAAAGAAAUUGUACACUCGUCGCAUCACUUUGUUACUUUGCAUUCAUGUCGAUCCCUCAGGGAUCCUUUGGUUCAAAGUAGUGGCAAAUCUAGAAAUAAAUGAAUCGUGGUCACAAAGUUAACAUGGAGAAAACUAAAUGCUCUUUUGAACCACAAUUUUAAUCGGUUUAGCAAGAUAGCCAUUAUAUGAUACUAAUGUGGACCAAAUCUAAGCUCACAAAAUAUUUCGAGGGCAGGCUUCAGCCUGUUGAAGACUGCCGCCACUAGUUCAAAGAAAAAGUGAAGGAAAACAUAGGAAUUGGAAACUUUACUAUGGUACUACUAUUCAUGCAUUUGGUUAGAAGGAAUGGAGCAAAGCAAAACUGGAGGAUUGUUUUCCUUUGGUGUCUCUUUCAAAGAAAAAAUGUAGGAAUUUUAAUAACCACUUGGACGUCCUUUUCAAAUUACUAUGCAUGAAGAACAGGACUAAUUGCAUUACUGGCAUAAUAAGAUUCUUAUUUUUUUCAUUUUCACGUGGUUUGACUUUAAUUUGACCAUGUGUCUCCAUUCCUGUGUUCUUCCAAUUCAUGUGAACCAAACACCCAAGUUGACAGAAAUCAUAUGUUUGCAAAUGCUCUGUUUUGCACGUGCAUUCCUAUCCUAUCCAUGUGUUUUUCCUGUUCCUGUGUUUAUAGAAUCCUCCAAUUCUAAGGAGCCUUUAUAGAUUUACUUCAUUUUCAGAUAGGCGUCAAAGAAAACUCUAUGUGUUAUGUCCUGCUCCUGUCAUGCCGUCAUCCACCCCACCUGAGGUGCACCACCGACGGAAGCGUUCACUACGGCAGAGAUUCCGCCUGCUGACUUUCUUUCGCCGCCUCAGAUCAUCUUCCCCGUUGUCGGCAGCCACGCCAACUGCAUUACCAUCAUCAACUGAGCAGAUGAACCUGAGGACUACACAGUUCCGGAAGAGAGGUCGCACUCUUUCGUGUCUGCUUACGUUAUACAUCGGUUUUUAUUCCUGCUACUUUAAUUUAUCGUCCUGUUCACUUCUUAGACUCCGAGUCAGGUCCAAACUAAUGUUCAAACUUGAGUUUUAAAAUGCCUGUGGGGCACAUAUCGAGGUAGCAACGAAUAGUAUAUGUCUACUAUCUGGUUCAUCUGGGGUCUUUUAUGUGGUCCAUGUUGGGUGGGCAACAAACAGUAGAUGAUCCAUCGUCUAUCUUUUUAAACUGAAGCUAUAAUCUACCUGCUAUCAUUAGUUUUGGAUCUAUCCACUCGUUUGCUACCAUCAGUCUUAAUUUCUGCAUGCACCCCUUAGGCCUUACAUAAUCUAACUAUGUUUUUUAUUAUGCAUGUCAGUUAUUGUACACAAUCAUACUGAACAUGUAGAGAAAAAGAGAAGACCGUUGCGUGGGAAUAUAAUGUCAUGCAGACGCCGCUCCAUGGUGGGAGAAGUGGGCCCCCCUCCCGCCAUUCCAGAUUGUAUUCCAGAGGAAGAUAAAUGUUCAGAGGGGGAUUCAGAGGGAGCCGACCACUCCUAUUUACCCCCUAGGUGUUUGCUCUAACCUGGCAUGCUGAUGUUGGUCAUAUCAUGCAUAUGGCGCCUCGCAUUGCUUAAAUUAUACAUCUUAUAUGUCAUCAGCUUAGUUUAGAUUUGCUUUGUGUGAAUGCCACCUGUUUGGUUUCUAUAUCAUACUCCCACCGUUCCUAAAUAUUUGUCUUUUUAGAGAUUUCAACACGUGACUACAUACGGAGCAAAAUGAGUGAAUCUACACUCUAAAAUAGGUCUAUAUACAUCCGUUUGUGGUAGUCCAUUUGAAAUCUCUAAAAAGACAAAUAUUUAGGAAUGGAGGGAGUACAUGGCAAUUAUGCAAUGCCAUCUUCUUUAGCCAGGCAUCGUAUACGUGAAUCAUGCAAUGCCAUCCUGUUUAGCCAGUCAUCGUAUAUGUGAAUUGUAUCGUGCCAUAUUUUUUUCAUAAUGUAUUCCAUUUGUCAACAAUGUUUGUACAUUCAUCUAAUCUUCCUGUGCAUCGGCCAUUUGAGUCGGUCAUGGGAUAAUCUGGAGUGAAAACAAGGUCUUCUAAGCAGUCAAUGCUACCUGUCGAUGCAGAUUUCUUGCUGGUUACAGAUAGCUCCACAGAGGAGGAUUUAGAGACAGAUGACCAGUCGUAUCCCCCCCCUCCCCCGAGGUGCAUGCUCUAACUUGGUAGGGUUAUAUUGCUCAUAUCAUGCAUAUGGUGUCUUGCAUUGCCAUGCCAUCUGCUUAGAUUAGACAUGCUUUGUGUGAAUGCCUCCUGUUUGCUUUCUAUAUCAGAUAUGUGAAUUGUGCAAUGCCAUGUUUUUCAGACGGUUAUCAUAUAUGUGAAUUAUGCACCGCCAUGUAGCCAGGCAUCAUAUACGUGAAUAUCUCAUGUCAUCCUUUUUUCAUUAUGUAUUCCAUCUGUCGACAAUCUGUGUAUAUUGAACUACUCUUCAUGUGUAUCAGCCAUUUGAGCCGGUUAUGGAAAAAAUUUGGCGUGAAAACAAGGUCUUCAGAGCAGGCAAUGGUACCUGUUGAAGCAUAUAUCUCGAUGGUUACAGCUAGCUCCUCAGAGGAGGAUUCAGAGACAGAUUACUAGUCCUAUAUCCCACCUGAGGUGUAUGCUCUAAUUUGCAAUGUUUAUAUUUCUCAUAUCAUGCAUAUGGUGUCUUGCAUUGCUUAGUUUAGACAUCAUAUGCACAAUAUUCAAUUCCAUCUGCUUAAUUUAGAGAUCAUACAUGCGAGUGCCAACUGCUUAGUAUAUGAAUCAAUUAUGUCAAUUAUAUCAUGCCAUGUUGUAUACUUAGACAACAUGUAUGUGAAUUAUUUCAUCCCAACCUAUUUUUAGAAAGACAUCAUAUAGUUUUGUCAUGUCAUCCUGUUUCAAUACUCAUCAUAUGUUGAAUUAUGCCAUUAUAUCCUGUUAAGUUAUCCAUCAUAUAUCUGAAAUUGUGUCAUGCUAUCUUGUUUAGUUAGCCAUCAUAUAUGUGAAAUUGUGUCAUGUUGUCCUAUUUGGUUAGACAACAUAUAUGUGAAUUACCACAUCUGUCUAUCAUACAAUGUCUGUACGUUCAAUUUCUUUUCUUGUUUAUAAGCCAUUUGAAUUGGAGGAGAUGAUGGCAGUAUCUAAGGGAGUAAAAACCUGUUCUUCACAAAAGACGAUGCUACACGUCGAUGCAGAUAGAACCAUGGUUGUACUGGCCCACGAACUAGCCCCACCACACAUAAUCGAGACUCUUCCAAAUUGCACACUUACACCGUUGGACAGAGAACCAGCUACAACCCAUCUAACCCCAACCCCAGCGGAGAGUAACCCACUUCUAGUUGACACAACACCAUUUCCACCACAAAGUACCCCCACACGAGCAGUUUGUAAAGCAACAGCAGUGCCCAAAGCACGAAGACCACCACAGCGAACCCAAACUCCACGUUUAAAGCAGAAGAGCAACUGUUCUCAGGUCAGAUUACGUAGCUAUGGUCCAUACUCCUUUGUCCUUGCAUCACAGUAUUUACUCAUACCAACUACUUUCGAAUUUGAAGGAUCCAAUUGGAACUAAUGGCACAACAGGUAUGUUUUAAAUCUAUUUCUUUAACUGGAUUGCUAUUCUAACUUAUUGCCCUAUGUUGAUUUUAGUUUUAGUUGUAUAAACAGUUAUGUUCUCAUGUGAUGCACAUUACAAGUGUUGCCAGUGCUGUGUAGUUUCUCACACUUAUAUUCUGUCUAUGCUGUUGUGUCUUAAAAAUAUAUGAUUAGAAUUGUGUCUCUAUCUUGAUAUGGCAACAUAAACUAGAAUGAUAUGGACAAUACAGUGACCAUAGUACAUAGAUAUAUGUUUGUUUCAUGUUGUUAUCCUGUCCACCUUACUACUGAACCGGUUUACCAAAAUGAGUUUCGUAUACUACAUGCUAAACCUGUGAUGUGUCUGCUUGUUUCUCUUGUAGAAUGCGAACAGAAUAUUGGAGAAGAGCACCCCACUAUGCAAUGGUAGAGAAAGUAAUGCAGAUAAGGUUCAAGAUAGUGAGACAACCCUGUUGGUCUCCAAGAAAGGUGAUAAAAACGAUCUUGUAGACACUGAGACAACCCCACAGUUAUGCGUUGAUGUAGUGUUCGAGUUACUGGCCAGUACCGCUGGCACAAUCUCUUCGAACUUGCUGCCUGAAUCACUUCGGCUUCUUCAGUCUCAGCUACAAGCUGAAAGGCAUCAGUCAGCUAUGCUGCGGCAAGAAGCCGAAGGACUGAGGAAGUCCCUGCAGAAUUCAGAUGCAUACUUUCUGGUGCAACAGCAAGCGCUGGAGGAUUUAAGCGCCAAACAAGAGAAAGUUAAUAAGCUUGCUAAGCAUCUUGACAGCAUUAUGGGUACCCAGGAUAUUGUUUCUUGAGCUCUUCUGAAGUGGUUUCAGUUCUGGACUUGUUUUGCUGUGGCAUUUAUUUGCACUGGUCGCCAACUUUGACAACCAGUGUAUGUGAUAUGCUGUUUUGUUCCCUAUAUUUGCACUUGUGGCAAACUUUGAUGCCCAGUGGAUGUAAUGUGUGUAAUAUCCGUGAUAGCCUAGCGUAAUUUGCUUGCUUAUUUAUUUCCUUGUUGUCUUUUUUAUUUGUUUGCUUGUAGUCAGUGCAGUUCUUUUUUCCGCGGUUUGCUAGUGGCCGCAAUAACCUAUUUUUUAAAACUAGGCCACAAUAACCAUGGGCUACAUAUUUACUGUAGUGACCCUGGGCCUCCUACGGGCUGUAGAAACAAUGGGCCUUCUAUGGGCCAUAGAAACAAUGGGCCUUCUACGGGUCGUAGCAUCAAUGGGCCUUCUACGGGCCGUAUGAUCGAUUGGCUGAACAUGGGCCAAUAAUGGACCGCAUUAUGGGCCGUAAACGAGAUAGAGUUGGAAUCAUCCGUUCAUGGGCCGACCAUAACGGGCCGUCCUUAAUCAUCCGUAUUUGAUGACGCUAUGAAAAUGGCCCAACGGAUUAACGGGCCACAAACGGGCCGACUGUAACCACGGGCUGAAUUUCGCCCACAAGCAGAAAAGGCCAGUAAUGGGCCGUAAGUAACCGAAUGCUGGAAAUGAGCCCAAGAAUAAAUGGGCCCUGAGAAGGCCGAAGGAUAACAUGGGCUGGAAAUGGCCUAAUGGAAUAAUGGGCCGUUAAUGGGUAUAAAGCAAUACACUGUUCAUUACGGGCCAGUUUCACCAUGUGUUGUUAAUGGGCCUAGAGUUACAAAGGGCCUCAUAUGGGCCGAAAGACGUCCUAGGCCAUACAUGGGCCGGAAGUUACAACGGGCUGGAAUCAUAUUGGAUGGCCCAGAUGAAGCUACCGGGCCUAAUUUGGAUAGGCCGUAACGGGUCGUGAGUUAGCGGGUUGUAAAUGGGCUAUAUGCGAACAAGCCGUUAACAGGCUUUCCGUGGGCCAGACCGCUACCAUUUGACCAAGUCAAACGGGCCGGCCUUUUCACAGGAAUGGGCCUCUGUUGUGCCAUGCCACAUGUCGACGUAUCAUAUGCGCCUUCUGUCCAAUGAGUGGAUGACAUCUGUCCCAACGGUGAGCCAACACGUGGUUCCUCUGGCCAUUGAGAAUUUUACACGUGGAAAAUCCCCAUUGGUUCGGGCUGUUAACGGGUUAUCGGAUCCAAACCGGAACCCAAUAGCUUAACGGCGACCCAUUACGGUGGAUGCCACGUGUCGGUUACCCUUGACGAAAGCAAUUCUAUGACGUGCGAUUUAUCGUCAUGGAAGUGGACACUUCCGUCAUGAUAAUUUUGGUAAUGUCAUGGAACACUUCUACGAUAGCACAGGUAUGACUAUGUUGAUUCUGUCAUAAAAUCGUCAUGGAUGUACAUGCAUGUCAGAAAACGUGACCUACUGUGACAAACACGUAUCAUCACGGAAGUGUAUUUUUUGUAGUGCUUUUUCGCGUUGUGUGCAAGUGUUUGUUAGUUUGUGCAAGUGGUUCUUAACUAUGGGAAAUACUUAUCUCUACUUUGAUGCAUCACCCUUUCCUCUUCAAGGGAAAAAUCAACGCAUGCUCAAGAAGUAGCAGGAAGAAUUUCUGGCGCCGUUGCCGGGGAGGUUCUACAUCAAGCCUACCAAGUACUCAUCAUAAACUCUCAUCUCUUGCACUUACACUAUUUGCCUUUUGCCUCUCGUUUUCCUCUCCCCCACUUCUAAAACGUUUUCAGAAAACACAAAAAUAUUUGCCUUUUUAUUCGCCCUUCAUUGUUCGUCUUUUCGUUUGUCUUUUGUUUGCCCGUGUGCUAUAUUGCUUGCUUUGUCACAAUGUCUCGAGAAAAUGCCAAAUUGUGCGACUUUUCCAACACUAAUAAUAAUGAUUUUAUUAGUACUCCGAUUGCUCCUGCCACUAGUGCGGAAUCUUAUGGAAUUAAUGCCGCUUUGUUGAAUCUUUUUAUGAAAGAACAAUUUUCUGGCCUUCCUAGUGAAGAUGCCGCAUCCCAUCUAAAUACUUUUGUUGAAUUGUGUGAUAUGCAAAGGAAAAAAAUGUGGAUAAUGAUAUUGUUGAAUUGAAGCUAUUUCCGUUCUCACUACGAGAUCGUGCUAAAAAGUUGGUUUUCAUCCUUGAUUAAAAAUAGUAUGGAUUCAUGGAAUAAGUGUAAAGAUGCUUUUAUUUCCAAGUAUUUUCCUCCCGCUAAGAUCAUCUCCCUUAGGGACGAUAUAAUGAAUUUUAAGCAACUUGAUCAUGAACAUGUUUCACAAUCUUGGGAGAGGAUGAAAUUGAUGAUAAGAAAUUACCCUACUCAUGGUUUAAGUUUAUGGAUGAUCAUACAAUUUUUUUAUGUCGGAUUGAAUUUUGCAUCUAGAAAUCUUUUAGAUUCUGCCGCGAGAGGUACUUUUAUGGAAAUUACAUUAGGAGAGGCUACUAAACUCCUAGAUAAUAUUAUGGCUAAUUACUCUCAAUGGCAUACCGAAAGAUCUUCUACUAGUAAAAAGGUGCAUGUGAUUGAAGAAAUUAAUACUUUGAGUGGAAAGAUGGGUGAACUUAUGAAAUUGAUUGCUAGUAAGAGUGCUCCUAUUGAUUCUAAUGAUAAGCCUUUGUCCACUUUGAUUGAGAAUAAUAAUGAAUCUAUGGAUGUGAAUUUAGUUGGUAGGAACAAUUUUGGUAAUAACGCAUAUAGAGGUAAUUUCAACCCUAGGCCGUUUCCUAGUAAUUCCUCUAAUAAAUAUGGUAAUUCCUACAACAAUUCUUAUGGAAAUUAUAAUAAAAUACCCUCUUAUCUCGAGAACAAUAUUAAAGAUUUUAUUAGUUCUCAAAAGAAUUUCAAUUCUAUGGUAGAAGAAAAUUUGCUUAAGAUUGAUGAUUUGGCUAGGAACGUUGAUACAAUUUCUCUUGAGAUUGAUUCUUUAAAGAUUACAUCUAUGCCACCCAAGUAUGAUAUUAAUGAAUCUUUGAAAGCUAUUCAAAUUUCUAUUGAUGAAUGUAAAGAAAGAACCGCUAGGAUGCGUGCUAAGGGAGAUUGGUUUGUAAAAGUGUGUUCUUCUAUUUCUUGUGAAAAUAAUGAUGAAGAACUUAAGUGAUUGGUGUGACUCCUAUUGAAUCUUUGUUUUCUAAUAUAAAUCUUGAUAAAGAUGGGACUGGAGAUGAGUCAACUUUAGCUAGAAGGCAUCCCAAUAAUUUGGAGUUUAAAGAUCUUAAUGAAAAAAUUGAUAAAGGUGGGAUUGGAGAGGUCAAAACUUUAAGUAGCGAUGAACCCACUCUUUUGGAUUUCAAGGAUUUUAAUUAUUAUAAUUGUUCUUUGAUAGAUUGUAUUUCCUUGUUGCAAUCCAUGUUGAAUUCACCGCAUGCUUACAAUCAAAAUAAAGCUUUUACUAAACAUAUUGUUGAUGCUAUGAUGAAAUCUUUUGAAGAAAAACUUGAGUUGGAAGUUUUUAUCCCUAUAAAUCUUUAUGAUGAGUAAGAACCUACUAUUAAGAUUAAAAUUAAAGACUAUGAGUGUAAUGCUUUGUGUGAUUUGGGUGCUAGUGUUUCCAUGAUUCCAAAAACUUUUAUGUGAUGUGCUAGGUUUCCAUAAACUUGAUGAUUGUUCUUUGAAUUUGCAUCCAGUGGAUUCCACUAUAAAGAAACCUAUGGGAAGGAUUAAUGAUGUUCUUAUUGUUGCAAAUAGGAAUUUUCUGCCCGUAGAUUUUAUUGUGCUUGAUAUAGAUUGCAAUCCUACAUGUCCUAUUAUUCUUGGUAGACCUUUCCUUAGAACGAUUGGUGCAAUUAUUGAUAUGAAAGAAGGAAACAUUAGAUUUCAAUUUCCGUUAAGGAAGGGCAUGGAACACUUUUCAAGAAACAAAAUUAAGUUGCCAUAUUAAUCUAUUAUGAGGGCUACUUAUGGAUUUAAUAUCAAAGAUGACAAUACCUAGAUCUAUGUUUUAUGCCUAGUUAGGGGCGUUAAACAAUAACGCUUGUUGGGAGGCAACCCAAUUUUAUUUUGUGUUUUUUGUUUUUGUUUCUGUUUUUCAAUAUAUACACAUUAUUACUUCUAUAGUUUGUGUUUUGGUGUUUUAAUUAGUGUUGAGCCAAGUAAGACCUUUGGGAUGGUCUAUGGUGAUAGUUGAUUUGAUCUUGCUGAAAAACAGAAAUUUUUGCACUCAUUGCCAGAAUUUUAAAAAAAUCACAGAGACGUGCUUUUGAUCUGAAGUUUUUACACAAGAUUGAUAUAAAAAUUGCCCAGAUGGUCCUAAUUUUUCAUAAUUUUUGAAGUUACAGAAGUAUAUGAAGUUUCCAGAUUGCUACAGACUGUUCUGUUUUUGACAGAUUCUGUUUUCUAUGUGUUGUUUGCUUAUUUUGAUGAAUCUAUGGGUAGUAUCGGGGGGUAUGAACCAUGGAGAAGUUGGAAUACAGUAUAUAUUACACCAAUAUAAAUUUAGAAUGAGCUCACGACAGUAUCUAAAGUGGUGAUUUAUUUUAUUAUACUAACGGAUCUCAUGAGUUUUCUGUUGAGUUUUGUGUUGUGAAGUUUUAAAGUUUUGGGUAAAGAUUUGAUGGACUAUGGAAUAAGGAGUGGCAAGAGCCUAAGCUUGGGUAUGCCCAAGGCACCCCAAGGUAAUAUUCAAGGACAACCAAGAGCCUAAGCUUGGGGAUGCCCCGGAUGGCAUCCCCACUUUCGUCUUCGUUCCAUCAGUAAUUUACGUGAGGCUAUAUUUUUAUUCACCACAUGAUAUGUGUUUUUCUUGGAGCGUCUUGUAUGAUAUGAGUCUUUGAUUUUUAGUUUGCCACAAUCAUCCUUGCUGUACACACCUUCUGAGAGGGACACGCAUGAAUCGUGAAUUUAUUAGAAUAAGCUAUGUGCUUCACUUAUAUCUUUUGAGCUAGGCAGUUUGCUCUAGUGCAUCACUUAUAUCUUUUUAGAGCAUGGUGGUGGCUUUAUUUUAUAGAAAUUAUUGAACUCUCAUACUUAAAUUAUAUUAUUUUGAGAGUCUUUAAACAGCAUGUUAAUUUGCUUAGGUUAUGAAUUUAGUCCUAAUAUGAUGGGCAUCCAAGAGGGAUAUAAUAAAAACUUUCAUAUAAAGAGCAUUGAAUACUAUGAGAAGUUUGAUUCCUUGCAUAUUGUUUUGAGAUAUAAAGAUGGUGAUAUUAGAGUCAUGCUAGUGAGUAAUUGUUGAUUGGUAUAAAUACUUGUGUUAAAGUUUGCGAUUCCCAUAGCAUGCACGUAUGGUGAACCGCUAUGUGAUGAAGUCGGAGCAUGAUUUAUUUUUUGAUUGUCUUCCAUAUGAGUGGCGGUCGGGGACGAGCGAUGGUCUUUUCCUACCAAUCUAUCCCCCUAGGAGCAUGCGUGUAGUAUUUUGUUUUGAUGACUAAUAAAUUUUCGCAAUAAGUAUGUGAGUUCUUUAUAACUAAUGUUGAGUCCAUGGAUUAUAUGCACUCUCCCACUUCCACCAUUGCUAGCCUCUCUAGUACCGCACAACUUUCAUCGGUGCAUUAAACCCACCAUUUACCCUUCCUCAAAACAGCCACCAUACCUACCUAUUAUGGCAUUUCCAUAGCCAUUCCAAGAUAUAUUGCCAUGCAACUUCCACCAUUCCGUUUAUUAUGACACAUACCAUGAUUGUCAUAUUGCUUUGCAUGAUCAUGUAGUUGGCAUAGUAUUUGUGGCAAGGCCACCGUUCAUAAUUUUUUAUACAUGUCACUCUAGAUCAUUGCACAUCUCGUACACCAUCGGAGGCAUUCAUAUAGAGUCAUAUUUUGUUCUAGUAUCGAGUUGUAAUUCUUGAGUUGUAAGUAAAUAAAAGUGUGAUGAUCAUCAUUAUUAGAGCAUUGUCCCAUGUGAGGAAAGGAUGAUGGAAGCUAUGAUUCCCUCACAAGUUGGGAUGAGUCUCCGGACUUUAUAAAAAAUAAAAGAGGCCAAAGAAGCACAAAUAAAAAUAAAAGAGGACAAAGAAGCCCAAAUAAAAAUAAAAAAAUGAGAGAAAAGAGAGAAUGGACAAUGUUAUUAUCUUUUUUCCACUCUUGUGCUUCAAAGUAGCACCAUGAUCUUCAUGAUAGAGAGUCUCCUAUUUUUUCACUUUCAUAUACUAGUGGGAAUUUGUUUUCAUUAUAUAACUUGGCUUGUAUAUUCCAAUGAUGGGCUUCCUCAAUUUGACCUAGGUCUUCAUGAGCAAGCAAGUUGGAUGCACGCCCACUUAGUUUCUUUUUGAACUUUCAUACUCUUAAGCUCUAAGUGCAUCUGUUGCAUGGCAAUCCCUACUCACUCACAUUGAUGUCUAUUCAUGGGCAUCUCCAUAGCCAGUUAAUACGCCUAGUUGAUGUGAGACUUUCUCCUUCUUUUUUUCUUCUCCACAACCACCAUGUUUUAUUCCACGUAUAGUGCUAUAUCCAUGGCUCACGCUCAUGUAUUGCGUGAAAGCUGAAAAAGUUUGAGAACACUAAAAGUAUGAAACAAUUUCUUGGCUUGUCAUCGGGGUUGUGCAUGAGGAAAUACUUUGUGUGAUGGAGAUGGAGCAUAAUCGUACUAUAUAAUUUUGUAGGGAUAACUUUCUUUGGCCAUGUUAUUUUGAAAAAACAUGAUUGCUUUAUUAGUAUGCUUGAAGUAUUGUUGUUUUUAUGUCAAUAUUAAACUUUUUGAAUCUUAUGGAUCUGGAUAUUCUUGCCACAAUAAAGAAGAUUACAUGGAUAAAUAUGUUAGGUAGCAUUCCACAUCAAAAAUUCUACUUUUAUGAUUUACCUACUCGAGGACGAGCAGGAAUUGAGCUUGGGGAUGCUUGAUACGUCUCCAACGUAUCUAUAAUUUUUUAUUGUUCCAUGCUAUUAUAUUAUCUAUUUUGGAUGUUUUAUAUGUAUUAAUAUGCUAUUUUAUAUUUUUUUUGGACUAACCUAUUAACCUAGAGCCCAGUGCCAGUUUCUGUUUUUUCUUGUUUUUGAGUUUUAUAGAAAAGGAAUAUCAAACGGAGUCCAAACGGAAUAAAACUUUCGCGAUGAUUUUUCUUAGACCAGAAGACACCCGUAGGACUUGGAGAGGGGGUUAGAGGAGUCCCGAGGGUCCACAAGCCCUCAGGGCGUGCCCCUGGCUUGUGAACACCUCGGGUGUUCCCCAACCCUAAUCUUUGAACUAUAAAUUCCAAAAUAUUCCCCCAACAUCAUAAGCAUCCACCAAAAUACUUUUCCGCCGCCGCAAGGCUCUGUUCCCGUGAGAUCCCAUCUUGGGGCCUUUUUCGGCACCCUGCUGAAGAGGGAUUCGAUCACGGAGGGCCUAUACAUCAAUCUUGCUGCCCUUCCGAUGAAGCGUGAGUAGUUUACCACUGACCUAAGGGUCCAUAGCUAGUAGCUAGAUGGCUUCUUCUCUCAAUCUUCAAUACCGUGUUCUCCUUGAUGUUCUUGGAGUUCUACCCGAUGUAAUAUUCUUUUGCGGUGUGCUUGUCGAGAUCCGAUGAAUUGUGGAUUUGUGAUCGGUUUAUCUAUGAAUUUUAUUUGAGUCUUUUCUGAACUCUUUAUGCAUGAUUAAAUAUCUAUGCAUUUAUCUUCGAAUUAUUAGUUUGGUUUGGCCAACUAGAUUGGUUUUUCUUGUGGGAGAGGUGCUUCGUUUUGGGUUCAAUCUUGCGGUGUCCUCACCCAGUGACAGAAGGGGUAGGGAGGCACGUAUUGUAUUGUUGCCAUCGACGGUAAAAAGAUGGGGUUUUCAUCAUAUUGCUUGAGUUUAUCCCUCUACAUCAUGUCAUCUUACUUAAGGCGUUACUCCGUUCUUAUGGACUUAAUACUCUAGAUGCAUCCUGGAUAGCGGUCGAUGUGUGGAGUAAUAGUAAUUGAUGCAGAAUCGUUUCGGUCUACUUGACACGGACGUGAUGCCUAUAUUCAUGAUCAUUGCCUUAGAUAUCGUCAUAACUUUGCGCUUUUCUGUCAAUUGCUCGAUAGUAAUUUGUUUACCCACCGUAUGCUUUCUUUCAAGAGAGAACCCUCUAAUGAAACCUAUGGCCCCGGGUCUAUUUUCCAUCAUAUAUUUUCAGAUCUAUAAACCAAAAAACCCAAAAAUACCUUGCUGCAAUUUAUUUAUAUUUACUUUAGUUUGCUCUUUUAUUUAUUUUUUAUACCUAUCUCUAUUAGAUCUCACUCUUGUUCGUGGCCGUGAAGGGAUUGACAACCCCUUUUUCGCGUUGUGUGCAAGUGUUUGUUAGUUUGUGCAGGUGCAUAGAUUGGAGACUUGCUUGUGUCUCCUACUGGAUUGAUACCUUGGUUCUUAACUGAGGGAAAUACUUAUCUCUACUUUGCUGCAUCACCCUUUCCUCUUCAAGGGAAAAAUCAAAGCAAGCUCAAGAAGUAGCAAUAAGCUUCACAGAAAAUUUGAAAGUGGCAAAGGUUUGACACCGAGUUUGGGCCUAUAUCUUGAGGAUGAAGAUUGAAAUAGUGCAAGGCGUCCCGAAAAAACUUCGACCCAGGCGGUGUAAAGCCUCUGAUAAUAUGAUCAGUAAAAACUAUCACUUCUCCUUCACCAGGAUUGGGUACGUUUUCUCCUUGGCUAACUCGCCAGCCUAUCUCUUCCUUAGUCGCCAAGAGACCUUGGCCCGCAUAAUCCUUAAGGACCUCUUCACUAAUGAGGGAAGGGCCCCAAUUGGAAAGGGUGGUUUUCGUCAUAUUGAGUCGCCUAAGGAUGACGGAAAUGUGGAAUCAGAAUAUAGUGGGUUACUUAAAAGAAGUAAUGACUCGCUAUCAUUAUCACAUGAGUAAAGCAAUAUAAAGAUAAGUCGCCCGAAACAGAGGUGGGUUAUGUAAGAGAUGCAGUCUCUAGAACAACGGCAGAUUAUUGAUAUAUAGCUAAGCCGCCCAAGAUGCAGAGGCGGGUUAUCUAAAGUUCAAGAUUGUUGAAAAUUCUGCUAAGUGUGAAGCAAACAAGUUUCACAAUCAACAGCUAUAUUUAUGGAUCUGUGGGCAGUUCAAAAAGAAAAAUAAUUGCUAAACCUAAAAGGUGGUGCCGGAAGAACUAGCAGACUACACAUUGAUUCUGGAGAGAAUACAAGUUAUCCAAGGUGCGAGAUGGUGUCAAAACUGCUACCGCAAUACUUCUAUGGUGUUUUUCCGGAUCAAAAACAUGUUCUAUUCAAAGAUAUGAUGAACUAAGAAAGGGGUGGACGCCGACGAACUCCACGAACUCAGGUGACCUAGUAUAGAUCUGAGAAAGAAGGAAAGGGGUACCUGGCGGCAAUGAAGGAAGGCGGGGGCGCGCCACAGAGUUUUGACGACGGCGGAGUGGUGUUGCGACCUCGAGCGAAGAAAGCUGGCGCGGGCUGAGGGGCGCGGCGGAGCUCCGGUUGCGAAGGGACUCACGAGGAAGAAGAAGUGGAGAAGAAGAGGUAAAAGAUAAAAGGAGGGCCCUCGUGCUUAUUUAUAAGGGAAAGGUAACAGUAAAUGGCGGGUGCGAGAAUCAAGGAGGCAUAAUAAAUUUUACAAGAAAGGGACGCCUCGAUUUUCGGAAUGAUGGAUUUUUACAAAGAUUUGUUAUGACGUCAUGAAGGUAUUCCUGGAAUCACGGGAGUGACAUCAUCUUUUUUUCAUGGCGGGUUAUGAAGAUUUUAUAGAUGAAGAUUAAGAGAAGUGAAAGGAAGAUUCGCAAGACGGAGGAGUUUAAGAUUGACAUGAAUAAGUUUAAAUCAAUCUGGGGCCUAAUGUUGGGAUAUGACCCCGCGAUUUAACCCGCCCAGGAAGGGCCGGGUUAGACCAUUGGCGACUCACGGAGUUAAGGCUUCAGACACGCCCAAGCACCGAAGGGGCGACUCACAAGAUGGGCCGACUUAAAGCCCAAGACCAGAAGACAGCGUGUGGCCCAAAGGUGUAAGCCGCCAUCUGAUGACUUGCCUUACUAGGCAAGGUGAUUUAGAGUAUGACUCGGUCACGGGUCAUAACCCAGCCCGGACUCUUGUAAGCCGGCAACCUCGACCUGUAUAUAGGCGAGUCCCAGCAUAGAAUAGACAGGUUACAUUCAAUCGAGAGCUAGGUUAAGCGAAUCCGCUCCCUUGUAAUCGACACUCAAGCAAUAAGCAGCAAGAGCAGGAGUAGGCUUUUACCUCCACUGUGAGGGGCCGAACCUGGGUAAACUCGUGUCCCUCGUCCCGCUCAACCCCGACAAGCUAAUCAUCGUAGCGAUGGCCUCGCACUUAAGUCCUUUCACUAUGGCAUCUGCCAUGACAAAACCACGACAGUACUCCACAUACACAUCAGCAACUCCUCCAACACAAAUAUAAUCAGCCGUCUUCACACACCCACUAUCAUCAUUAAUGAACACCAAGCCAUUGAUAAGCUCUUUCCCAUGAAGCAUAAUAGAACUUCAUCGAUUUCUUCAAUUGAAUAUGAUCUUUCAUGUAACCUUUCACUUCCUGUAGANNNNNNNNNNNNNNNNNNNNNNNNNNNNNNNNNNNNNNNNNNNNNNNNNNNNNNNNNNNNNNNNNNNNNNNNNNNNNNNNNNNNNNNNNNNNNNNNNNNNNNNNNNNNNNNNNNNNNNNNNNNNNNNNNNNNNNNNNNNNNNNNNNNNNNNNNNNNNNNNNNNNNNNNNNNNNNNNNNNNNNNNNNNNNNNNNNNNNNNNNNNNNNNNNNNNNNNNNNNNNNNNNNNNNNNNNNNNNNNNNNNNNNNNNNNNNNNNNNNNNNNNNNNNNNNNNNNNNNNUCCCCUUUCAUAUGAAAUUAAACUUUCAAAAUCUCACUAGGGUCCAUGAUUUCACUGAAAUAAACAUACAAUGCGAUCAAAAUAAAGCAUAUGAAGCUAUUCCUCUUCACAAAAAACCUAGCCUUUUGUGUCACCAAAAUCAUCCCCAAACUUGUCGCUCAAAACCCUAACCCUAAUGCCACUACUACUCUAAACUAUGAAUAACAUGGGAGGAGGGAGUCCAGAACAUUACCUUCUUCUUCGAUGCGUCGUCGCGUCGUCACGAUCCCACAGCCCCGCUGAUCAACCACCGUUCACCAUGGCCGUCGCGAGAGAAGGUGGAAGGCAGGGGGUGUGGAGAGAACGAAGGAAAAUGAUGGACAGAACUGGGUCGGCCCACUCUUAUCGACGCAGGCGCGGCGCGCGGAACGACCCAUCCCGGCCAUACCUUUGCCACGUCAAUAAUCCCUGUUUGGGAACGGCAUCUGGAUUGGUAUAAACCGAAAUUUGUUAGUUCAGGGUGCAAACGACAGAGAAUUGGACUCCAAUGUUUGAUUCGCCGAACAUCUAUAAGUUUAAGGUUUAAAAUGAACUUUUUCCGCCAUGGGCAAACCGGUGAAACGAUCGGCACGAGAUGGAUCGAUUCAACCCGUGCGCGUGAGAGCGCGACGCGGGAUCAAGAGUCUCACGUGCACGCGCGCGCGGCGCCGCGGCAUGGGCACUAGGCGGAGUACGCACCACUGUGCACACAGGGAGACCACUGUUCACGAGGAGGCUGCCCGGUGCCGGUGCGUGCACCCGUGGUGGAUCGUUGCCAAGGCCCCCUUGGCCUACACGGAAUUACCAUGCAUGCCUUGUCGACAUUCGGAGAGAAACGAGAGGCGUCCGUCAGGGCUGACAACGCGCUCUGGCUGGUCUUGGAUCGUGCUAGUAGCAGGAAGAUUUCCAGCACAGGCUACGCGGCUAAAUAAUUCCAUGCGUUUUAGGGGCGGACCUAGAGACAGCAGGUCAGAUAAGAUUCAGAGCCCGACGCGCACAAAGUAAAACCACACGGGAUGUUUGUCGCCUCCCCAGUCUCCUCGCGGCCUGGUUAAUUAAUCGCAUUCGUACGCUGCGCCACACUAGGUCGAGUUUGACUAAACCAAGAUUUGCCUAGGACUUCUCGGUAGCUCUCGCAUGCCAGGAUUUGCCUAGUACAGUAAAUAUUUUCUUCAGUGUAGUCGUACUAUGAUAACGCGUCGCCGAACUCGUCGUUUUCCGGAUUUGCGUCCAGGUCUCUCUCCGAACAGAGGUUAAAGACCUUGUCUUCUUGCCCGUAAAAAAGAACACUUGUGUCCUGAAAUGCUGCCAACCAUCAGCACUCAGCCAUUACUAUGGUCUAGACUCUAGAGCGCACAAAAGCGCACAAAAGCGCAACAGCGAGGAGAACAUUGAAGUUUCUUCUUCUUUCAAAAAUCGCUGUAAGAAAAUGACGCGUUCGACAUUGUUGGAUGUUGCUGCGCCCCAUGUCCACGCCGACCAUACUUCCGGCAUCACGCCGAGAGCAAAUGAAGGUAAUCCACGCCAUAAUUUGGCGCGCGCACGAGGAAUCGACUGAUCUCACGCACAAACCUGAAGCAUCCGGUGACGACUGAUGACAGGGGCGGUACGUCGUCAACCGGCAGCAGGUGGCCCCCGGGCCAGGCUCACAUGACCGAGGCCCACAAUAUAGUGGGUAGCCCGGCCCGGGGUGGGCCUGACCGCCUGAGUAGAUGAUGCGUGGAAGGUUCUUGAGUGAGGAGCCAUGAUUCCGAUGGACGAACCUUGAGGUUCCAGGCUCAUGCAGUCAUGAUGAUCGAAAUCUCGAUCUGGUUCCAUUCAACACAUGGGUGGGUGUCCAAAUCAAGGCAGGUCCAAUCGAAGCCCAUUUCGGCAUCUGCUCCGGGCACGGUGCGCUCACCUGAUUGAAGAUCAUUUUUUGGGGUGAAAAAGAGGAAUACUGUCAUGUGAUGGAGUAUUAUGCUAUUCCCCGCCCUUCCCCCCGGAUAGCGAUACUGAAAGAAAAAGAAGACCUAAAGGAUUAAGUAAGGAGGAAUAAUAAAUAAAGUAAAAAAAAAGACAGGCUAGUGGAGCUUCUCUGAAAGACGUUUCGUCAAAAGCAAUCCUUGCUGGUGCGAGAGCCAUGACAUGUUCCUCAAGUUUUUUUUUUAAAAGAUCGUUCCUCAAGUUUCUCGAAUAGACAUGUUCGUCAAGUUAGCGCUGCUGCCCGAGUCGAUCAGAUCAGAUCACAUCACAUCACCAGUUCGGGCGGAUCUGAUCGGCCAAUGAAGGGUAAGGGUUCAGUCAUUUUCUCAGGGUCAGAACCUCCCAUCACUUCAGAGAAUUGGGUUAGCCGGUUGUUGCGACAUCAACAUAGGGGCAAGUCCAAAAUUCCUCAUCAUUUUUCAGGAGAUCUACCGUUUGAUCCGAAACCUGCAUGCUGGCUGUUUAUGUGCAUGGAAUGGAGAAAGGACACUGGUGCGUCAUUGUCUCCCAAGAAAAUUAUGCCAGACAUAGAAAAUGCAAAACCUACUAUUGCACCACACUUCAGAAGGGCAUGCAAAUUCAAGAACCAUGAUCUCAAGUCAAGAUCAUCAGGCAGUAUCUUUUAGAAGAAAACUAAGGCGGCGCCCCAGGUGGUGCAUCGAUCAAUGCACACAACCGACCAGAGCAUCACUCUAUCUAUAGUCACCGACCUGUUCCAGAAUACAAGUCACACGCUAUGAAGUUCAUGCAAUACUUGGAAAAGGCAGCGGCUCUAACUUCUUGAUUGCGCACCAUCCUAAGCUGUUUGCCGCCAAGAUAGUCUGAAAAAAAGGGAGGACUUUAAGCUCAGACUUGAUCAGCAGUUGCAGGUAGGUAAACUCGGCGGUAGCUCUUCGGCCCUAGCCUCUUCCUACAAGUAGGGCAUUUCUUCUGGGCCUUGAUGGCCGCCUUGAUGCACUUCUCACAGAAGACAUGGCCACAGCUUGUCGCGGACGGCAGCUCCAUCUUGUUCAGGCACACCGGGCAA
rnacentral:lncRNA from 1 species